CACCACCAAUCUUGCCUUGAACCUCUCCACAUUUCCAUGCACAUCCUUUUUCACCUUAAAUACCUACCAGCAUCCUAUCGCGUUCCUUCCCUUCAGCAAAUCAACAAGUUCCCAAGUCCUAUUUUUCCGAAGUGACUCCAUCUCCUUCUCCAUUACGCAUCGCCACUUUCCGACAUUGGUCGACUCACAAGCCUCCUUAUAUAAAGUCGACUCAUCUUCCUUCAGCAAAGCAACAUAUGCACUAACAUGGUUAGCAGAAGGAGAAAAUGAAGUAAUAUAGUCAUCAUACCUCGCAGAAGGUCUAAUGACCCUUUUAGGACACCCGGUUUCCACUAGGCUCCACCGGUGAAUUUGUAUCUUUGGAUAAUUGCGGAGACUCCAAGUCCGAUUCAUUAUCAACCACCUCGUCAUCCUCUUGUGCUUGCUUAGCUUGCUCCUCAUUGCGUGCUUCAAAGAGCUCAUGGAACCAUAGCCUUAUUAUCUUGCUUUUCGUUGGUUCCUUGAAUGGACCAUUCGUUGAAGACAACAUCAUGGCUUACGACAAUCUUGUGGGUAGUAAGGCCCCACAAUCGAUACCCCUUAACACCUUUCGUGUAGUCGAGAAAUAUGCACCUUCGAGAGUUGUUAUUCAAUUUUGACCUCUUCUUCUUCGGUAUCCACGCAUAAGCAUCACAUCCAAAGGCACGAGGAUAGGUGCAGUCAACGGGCUUGCCACUCUAGACUUUUUCAAGAACUUCCAGAUCAAGUGAUUUUGUCGGUGCUCGAUUAAUCAAAUAACAAGACGUGCUCACGACUUCCGCCCAAAAUCUCUUGUCAAGUUUUGAAGUACUCAAUAUGCUCCGGGUCCUCUCUAUGACUAUUAUAUUUAACCUCUCUGCUACAUCGUUUUGCUGCGGUGUGUCAGGUAUCGUGAUAUGUUCCUUAAUUCCAUGUUCACUACAAAACUCAUCAAAUUCUCUUCAACAAUACUCCCCUCUGUUAUUAGAAUGUAGGCACUUAAUUUUUAAACCUUUUUCAUUCUCCACAAGAGUUCUAAAUUUUUUAAAAGCUUCAAACACGUCGGACUUCCGUUUUAGAAUAUACACCCAAGCCUUUCGAGAAUAAUCAUCGAUAAAGGAAACGAAGUAAGAACACCCACCCAACGAAAUAUCAGGCGACUCCCAAGUAUCCGAAUGAAUUAACUCGAGAUGCGACUUACUUCUAUGAUGUGAUAGAGAGAAUGAUAACCUCUGUUGCUUCCUGCUUCCUGUAGAUGCAAUCUUCAUAGAAAUCCAAUGGCACGAACUUGUAACCUGGAAGAAGUUCAUAGUUAGAUAAUACCUGCAAUCUGUGCUCACUCAUGUGUCCCAGACGGUGAUGCCACACCGUCAGCGACUCCAGCAUCGCGCUUGCAACAACCGCUUCUUCCACUUGAGUCUUGCCCACCAAUCUAUAUAGGCCACCUAUUUGCUCUCCCUUCAUUAACACCAAACAUUCUUGACAUACCUUCAAAUGAUCCUUCUCGCCGACGAACCUAAACCCUCGUUUGCAAAAUAUUCCAAGUGAUAGAAGACUUUUUUGAAGUGCAGGAACAUGCCGAACAUUAGAAACUAUGUGAACAACACCAUCAAACAUCUUGAUCCAAAUGUCUCCCACUCCAACCUCCAGACAUGCCGUGUUGUCACCCAAAUAGAUAACUCCACUAUCUCGUGGUUUGUAAGUAUGAAACCAAUCACUCCCUAUAGGGAGUCAUGUGGAACAAGGCUCCCGAAUCCAAGAUUGAAUGACAAACAAGAUCGGAUCUAUCCAAUGCGGACAACGCAUCUUCGUCCUCCGAACUAGUUGACUUUUCAUGCGAAGUAUCGGUACUUUUCAUGCUGACUUUGCAUAUCCAACCCAUCGCAGAACUGUGUACCGGUACUCAAUGAAUUGUGUACCGGUACUCAAAGUAUAGUUUGCUCUAAAAGUAGCAUGCUGUGAGUUUCGUUCAUUUUUUUAGAAAUGAACAUAGCUAGAAAUGUAAAACAACUAGACUUACAACUUAAAAUCUCUAAUACUAACUAUUAAACUCUUAGUCAAUUGUAUUAGGUAGAUCGGUAUCAUUUGCUUUUUGUUUUUGGAGUUUAAAGCAUAAUUUUGCCAGCAAAGAAAAUACUGAAGAGGGAAAAUACCUACAGCAAGAUGAAGCAGCAUCUUAUACGAAGAAACUAAGAUAACUUAAUCCAAAACAAAAGAAAAUAUUGCUUUGCCCCCAACAAUAAAUGGUAAAGCAAUUAAUAAAUUGCAUGGCCUUUUUUAUAAACAAAUCAUUGAUUUUGCAAUUUUACAAAUAUAGGCUGCAUGUUUGUAUAUUGUGAAUUUGAUUCAAAUUUUUAUAGAUCUAACAAAAAUGCCCUUGCAAAAAUUGCAAAUGUAGGCUGUUUUUUUGUAUUAUGAAAAUUUGAUUCAGAUUUUUAUUGACAAGACGAAAAUGCCCCUGCAGUAUUAGUUUCCCUCAUCUAUCUCCUCUUCUCAUUUUCUUCUCAGUCCCAAUUACAUCGGUGACGUCUUCGACAAGAUGAACGCCCCCUCUCCUUCCCUACCUUGCCCACUUUCUCUUCGACUCCUUCGAUCCCGACCCGGACCUGAUUCUGCCCCCUUCGCUUAGGCCUACCUUCAUUGUUGCAUCUGCCACCUCACCUUCUCUUUCUCCGACGACUGCCUGCUCCCCCUUCCCUUCAUUUCCUACUUCGGUCCCUCCGCUACCCCCGCUUCCUCCAUUGUCGCCCUCCUAUAGCAAGCUCGCCUACCUAUCUUUCCUUCACGGACCUCAUGGGUUGGGAUCGGAGGAGUCAAAAAGAAGGUGACGGAGGAAGAGGGGCUGUCAUUCUCUUCGAAGAAGUUGUGACGGUGAUUGGGUCUAAGAAGAGGAGAAGGGAAGAGUAGGAGGGAGACACUCAUAUCGCAAGGGCAUUUUGUUAGAUUCGUAAAAAUUUGGAACAAAUUUGUAAAAUAAAAAAAGCAGCUUACAUUUGCAAAGUCUUAAAGCUAAUAAAUUCUUUACACAAAAAGGCCAAAAUGUAUUAUGGAAUAAGAGAAUUAGGUUUUUGUUAAUAUUAUAAUUAUAUCAAUGAAAUGGUGGCUAAUAAAGAGGAAAAAAAGAAAAAGGCAAUCAAACCUCUGAAAGAGAAAGAUUGAGAUCUUCCCUUAGUUUGGCUUGAGUUGGUGCAGAAUAUCCUACCUGCAAAAAAACAAAGGGUUAAGCUCAAUGGAUAAAUUAGCCUUUUUUUAGAUUUCUUAUGUUGAUUGAAUCCAACAAAUGAAAUAAGUACAUGUUGAUGCUUGUGUUUUUUAUUUCUCUAAUUGUUACUUUGUUGAGAAAAAGAUAGUAAGCUACCUGCUUCAUUCAAUAGUAAGGUGAAUUUUGCUAUAUGGGUGCGGUAGCUAGGCCUCAAAAAUUUAAAAUAAGGAGAAAUAAGGGAGAAAAAGAGUGGGGGAGAGAGAAAAAAGCAAAAAAGAAGAAAAUAAUGAAGAAAAGGAAAGAGGUGCAUUUCACGUCCAAACAAGAUUGUUAAUGGUAAUGCUCAAGCUAUAACUUUAGCGUGCACCAAAUAUACAAAAGGACCAUGACCGGGCUUAGGUUUAUCCUUAAAAAUAAUGGCAUUUCUAUCUAGGCAAAUUGCCCAUCAAACUGUUGAAAUUGUAGUGAGGUUCUUUCGUCACGUAAGGGCCUCGCUCUAUUUGGACAAGUUCUCGCAAAACCCUCGUAUGUCAUCUGCACACUGUUACAUAGUAGAUUCGUAGUUGGACCAAAUGAACAUAUUUUGAAAGUAAACACAUCUAGAGAAAAGGUUGUCACUAAUCUUAGGGAGAUUUGAGCAAAAGACAAAUGUUGUUUUCCUAUUCAUUCCCGUUUGUGGAGAUAAUCAACAGUUAGAAUUCGCUUUUUCAGUAGUAGCUAGACAAAAACUUUAUCUUUGGUAGAGAUAUUAAGUCUCCAAAUAUGUUGACGUCUCGAAUCUUGUAGUCCUCUAUCUAAAAAAAUUAUAGAGAGCUUUGACGUUGAAAAGUUAGUUGGUUUGUCCAUCACCUUUGAGUCCAAUGUAGAUGUCACUACGUAAUACUCUGGAAACAAUUUAAACUAUUGUAAUAGGUUCCUUUCCUCCAAAGUGGUUGUUUUGAGUCCCCUAAAAAUCAUGUCGUUUCCAAGUUUGUCUUCCAUAGCAAUUAUUGACACUUUUUUCCCUGUGUACUACCACUAAAAAUUGUAGGAAAUAAAAAGCGAAAUAGGAGGUCACCAAUUCGGAUGUCCAAUUCCCAAUGCCCUUGAGCCCAACAUAUGGACGUACCUCUUUCUCACAUCUCCCAAUAGUAGGAGGUAUGAUGUAGGCAUCAAACUCUUGGUGGAGCCCUACUUCUAGGCCCACACCAGGGCUCACAUCUAAAUUCUUUAUCAAGCUCACAAUACUGCUGGAAGUCGGGCCCAGUCUUACUUCGUCCCAGCUUUCAAUAGUUGUAGUAGGCCCAGAAAAAAAGGCUGUCAUACUAGGUCCAAAACUAUAGAAACUUUCUAUUAUACUCAAAGAUUUUUCAUUCCCUACAGAAUGAUAGCACAUCCUACAAAAAGGAAAAACUCCAACAGCUUUUUGAAUUCCCAUCAUCUCCCUAUCUAUCAUCUUUAGUCUCGGAUAUCACCCCUUUUCCUUUCUUGUGUGUGUCCCUAGAUCCCUUUUCCACUUCCAUCUCCAAAGAAAACUUUCUGAGAUCGUUAGGUGCUAUUUUUGUUCUCAAGUCCUCCUUCUAAUGGAAACCUCUCCUCGAUCCUUUUGUUUGUUUGUGCCUAUGUAUGGUGAGUCCGAGUUUGUAGUUACUGUUGACUUUUGGUGGAGUUGACUGAUCAAAUCUGUAGUCAGCAAGUUGUAGUUUUGAGUAUAUUGUCCAAAAUUUUGGUGAGUUUCGGGUGUCAUCUUUGUCCAUCACGUUGCCUUCUCUCGACAUUCGUCCAUUUGCACAUCGUCAGCGAAGUUUUGAUGAUGUGGAGCAUGACCACAUGAGUUGUGCUGGUCUUCACGUUCAUGCGACCCACCGUUCGACGACAGUAGCUGUUGUUGUCGAUUGUCAUCCUCGUAUGGAUCCUAUCAGACAAUUGCCAACAAAAUACGGUUGCAAAUUCUUAGGAGUAUUUGCAAGUUCUUUGACGGCUAUUGGACUUCUAGAUUUUGAUAGCUCGCUCAUGCAAUGUUCUCUUCGUUCGCAUGUAAGAACCAUCUGAAAUCGCACAACCAUUGUAGAUACUUGGUUUCAGCUCUAACAUUCAAAUGGAAAGCUCACAAGCCGUAUCCACUCCCUGUAGCUGAUCCAUGCUCGAUUAACACCAUGAUAGAGCUCCCAACAAGAACAACAGAGAAAAAUACCAUCUACGCAUGGUUCAUCAUCUCAGCAAGUCCUCUAUCGUCACCCAUUUAGGGAGUAAGAUUGCAAAAUCCCCCUCACUGUAUCAGGCAACAAGAAAUUCAUUUGGAAUUCCCCAAAAUAGUUGAACCAGCCAUUUUCUAGCAUUUUUUGCACGACAUGUCCCAAGUUAGCCGAUUGGACGACAUCAACUAGAAUUGCAUUGCGUCUCCUAUUUUGACAAUAGUUGAAGAAGUCCUUCGAGUAGGGAACAAAGACAUUCUAUUUGGAAAGGCGAACUAAGAGCACUCUAUACAAAUUUGGUUGAUAUUGAAAAGGCCGCUCUGUACACUUUUGAGCUUUGUGGCCCAUCCUAAGAUACGUUGCACACCGCAUCGAGUCCUUAGAAUUGUAAGCUUAGUGGUCAGGACCUAGGCACUUGAAGCACCGACCUUAAAGUUUACAAGGUCUGGCGGAGAUAACUUUUUUUUUCUUAAGAAGUGGUAGUGGCCUAAGGUUCUUGUGAGAACAAGGUUUUCUUGCAGGACUUUCCGAGGGAAGUAGCAAUCCAAAUGUAGUUCUUUCUCCGUCUGUGAUUGUCAAUAACUAGUGAUUUGUGCCCAAAGGCAAAAGUGUGGCUUCGAUUAUGGUCCUCCCGUGGCCACCAUUAAGAGAUGCCUCACUAUCCUGGAAGAGACAAAUAGAAGUCAGUGCAUUUCCUACUUUGUCAACCCAUGUAACCUUCUUAACGAUCCCUCCCUUUUUGGUGAGUUGUCUUCUCCUGGACGGGUCCAAGGUAGUUCCAUUCUCAUCGAAGCCUAGGUUGAGGGAGAUAUUCUUGGUGAUCCUUAUCUUUACAAGUUCAAAAUUUUUUUCCUAGCAUAGGAUCCAAAUUCAAACCUGAGUGGUGAGCAUCUUUCGAGCUAUAGUAUACCUUUUUCACCUGGGCGUCCACCAGAGAAAGCCAUACCUGAAGUUGGGGAAACGAUUCCCUUUGGAUGGGUCUUCAUUGAUGGGCUACAGAAGCAGCUUCCUAGGAAGAUGUUGUAGCUUUGCUUCCAACUUUACAUUAGGUUCUUCUCCGACCAAAGCUUCUUCAACAUUCUCUUUGGUUGUGUCUCUCUACCUCACCUCCGACAACCCUGCCUUGGUCGGCGGAGCUUCGGCCAUAUCUAGCUUUCUUUCCUCCUCUUUCCCUCUCUUUCCCUUUCAUGCCUUUUAGCUCGGUUGCGUCGCCCCAAACUAUCGUUGUCAACCUUUUGGACCUUUGGCAACCCCCUUAGGCUCUGUCACGCUGCUGGAUGGCCAUCCCCAAACCCUAAUCUGGUUGGAGCUUCAAAGUAAGGGAGCUCAGCCAAAUCUUGUGGACUGCUAUCACCACUAUUCCCAACUGCUAGCCACCACCUUUUCGGCCCUCCACCUGUCAGACCUCACCUUUUCCGAUUGGCGCCGGCCGCCCUUGGUCGCAGGGAGCAAAUAAGCCUAUGUCUGCCAUUAUUGUUGCCCAACUGAAACAACUGUAGGCCAAGCUUACUGUUUCGGUCAUCUCUGUUGUCAACGACCCCUUCUCUAUGGAGUAUGACCUUCCCAGGUGUUCCUUCAUCGUUGUGCUCCCCUUUGUUGCUGUUUGAUCGACCCCUAAUUGGUGGUUGGACUGCGACGCUGCCAAGAACAUCUUGGUUCGAAGGAAAGGUUGCUCCAACUUUGUCGACGAUAGCUGUUAGUGCUCGAGAUCAUGAGCAAAGUGCUUGAGACUUUGCAGCCCACCUAAAAGUGCUAUUGGUCGACUUCUAAGUCACGAAAAUGUCUAUAAUGAGCCUAAAUGUUCAAUUUACAUACUAAUUGGGCAAUUAUGAGAAAUAGUGUAGCACACUGAACUUUAGCAAAUUGUAAGAUUCUAUUGUCCGAAUAUUAUUUGGUACUAUUCUUGGUGUGUUUGAGGGUCGUGGAUUGUGUUCCGACCUAUUACUCGCAUCUUGAGAAGCGAGAGGGAGUACUUAGCACCAAAUCUGCAAAUUGCAAGUUUUGAGGUGCUAGGUACUGGUACCUAGGUGGGGUACCGGAAUCCCGUUGCGUAACCGAGAGUACUACUCUCGGGUUUGGGUUGAGGGGUGUUGAAUAUCGGUACGGAGUCGGCGGGUACCGGUACUGGGGCCGGGUACCAGUACUGCAUUUAGUAGGUACCGGUACACUGCAAGCUACCCGCUUGACAGAGGCUCGGGUUUUGCGGGAUGGUUGUCGGGUACCGGUACUCCCCUUCGAGUACUGGUACGUAGUGUAAUCUGCAGUCUGGAUGUUUUUGAGGGGCUUUUUGGGGACUGUACACUUCUAUAAAUACCCUAACACCCCCAUGAGGGGUUCCUUGUGCUUGGAACCAGUGGAGGAGUCUGGUAAGCCUCCUCUCCUUCUCUCUCUAGAUUUUUACUCUUUAAUUUGAAGUUUUUGAGGUUUGAUCUCUUCAUUUUUCCUUGUCCUUCAUGUUUGGAUGUUCUUGGACCUUGGAGAAGCCUUGGACUUGAAGAUUUGAACUUGGUUAAGGAAUUAUCUCCAAACCUAGCAUCAACUUAGCUUGGUUUGGAGUUCUAAAGAAUGUUAGUAGUAUUAUUUCUUUCUUGGAUUGUGUUUUUGAGAGGAUUUUUGGAGUUGACCUAGUUUUUGGACAACUAGGGUUUAAAUUGGGUUUUCUUUUGGUUGAGCUUUUAAGGCUUAAUUGUUGGUUCCAAUACUUCCUUUUAGGUUGGAAUUGAAGCAUCCUAGCCUUCGUUGGGAGUUUAGGAGAGUUUUUCCUCAUCUAAGGUAUUUUCUACCUAAUUAUGGGGUGAUUUUUGAGGAAUUUCGUAGGGUGCUCGUUCGAAGCCCCUAACCCUCUUAGAAUUUUUGUUAGGGAGUUAGAAGGGUAGUGGACAACUCCGUUCGCGCAAACGAAGGGGUUUCGAGGAGUGUCCGGUGGAUUUGACCUCACCGAAAUGGGUGAACUCCUCUUAUGUCAUUUUUUGUGAUUUAAAAUGAAAAAUCAUGCAUAUUCUUCCUAGAUAGAGUAUAAAUGAAUUUUUGAAUGCUAAGAAAUAUAUGCUACAUGUCAAGUUUAUAUCAUCUAUAUAGUAGAAAGAAAGUGGUAUAUGGAACUUGUAUGUGAAAUGACAUCUUUUAUAUUAUAUUAGAAAUCAUGUUAUGUUUAGUAAAAUGAUAAGUAUUACAUGCUUACGGACAAAUGAAUUACACAUGACAUAGUGGACUUGAACUUCAUGUAUGGACACUUGACUUAGUGAAUGAUUAAACCCCUACAAAGUGACAUAGAAUCUAACCUUGGGUCGCUAGUACUUGUACCAUGUUUUAGACAUGAUGACCGAUGACUUGAUAUGGAUGAUCAUACUUACUGGCCACUGUGCUCAUUCGCACAAGCUUGUGAGGGUGGCUCCCUACAAGCCGGCACUUCGGAGUUAUCCUACGCGAUAUAUGCUCGCCUGUGCAGGAUUGGGUACCUAAGUGGAUCGCCGUGGGGGAGGCUGAUUCCAAGUGGGGAAAUGUUGACUACCACGGGGCCAUUAGGCGGCGCAAGCCGGACUAUACUUAUGUAGGCCCUAGUUUAAUUGAACAAUGCCAUUCAAAAGAAUAAUGUGAACAUCACUACUAGAUAGUGCAUACUAGUUGGACAUGCUUAUUCAUGAUAGAAUAGCCUUAUUACUUGUUAAACAUCAUGCUAAAUAGAGGCAUAGUAGCUUAGUAAAUUAUUACUUGCACAAUAUUCAUGUUGUUUAUUCAGUUAUUCUUAUUUACUACUUAUGCCUCGAUAACCUAGUGGCGUAUUUCACUGAUGUCGACGGCUUACCCACUGGUAACUAUUGACUAAUAGUUUCCAUUCCCAUUUUGUUGAUGUUUUUGUUGACAGAGCCAUCCAUGUCGGGAGAGGCUAGGGGCCGCGGCAAGGUAGUCGCGACUAGCUAGACUUAGCCGGGAGAUUCUACUAGGUGGUCAUCUCUUCUUUUGUUGUAGUUGGGGAGAGAUGUUUUGUACUCGAUGUAUAGAGGCCACCCUUUUUGUAUUUAGUUUUAUCUUAUGUGGAUUCCAGAUUGUAUGAAUUUGGAGGAUUAUUAUUGUUUAGUUAUUUUUUUUUACUUCCUAUACUUGUCUUUUGAGAGUAGUUAUGUUUAUGCUCUGAUAUCAUGCUAGAUGUUGUUUUAUUCUUGUAUGAUUUCACCUUGUUAUUGUAGACGCCUUAUAUGUUUUUGGCAUAUGGCGGGUUUGGGCACGCACUGGGUAGGCUUUCGCUGGGGCCCGGGCGUGACAUAUUGGGUUCUUUUACACAAAUAUGCAUCACUGGCUAUUUUGGGUAUUACUCAUGUAUGACCUUUGGACUAUUGUCCUAACUCUGGAAAGUGAUUCAAAACUCGAAUGGGGAUUUAGGUUCGUUAAUCGCCGAGAUUGGUAUAUAAUAUGUGAUUUCAGUUUGAAAUUUGUGAAAAAUCAUCAUAGUUGCAUUUUAUUAUUGCCGAGCCUCCUUGGCUAGUCAACUCUCACUAUCUUGAGUGACUGAAGAUAGUGGGAGGGUAGUGGUGGGUUUUGUGGCUAAAAUUGAUAGUUUUAAAGACUCGUUGUGGUAUAUUUUUUGCUAUAAGCCUUUUUAGCAUUUACCUCGCGUGCGGCUGCUUGGACACCCAAAUUGGUGUGUUUCAGGGCAGCCGAUGGGCUAUGGAGAUCAAUGGCAUCCCUCAGUGUAACAUACCGAAACCUCGACAAUUAAAUUCGAACCUUGGUCAAAUUGACCAAAGUGCGAGAUUGGUACGCUUCGGAAAGGCCGAAGGCGUCAAAUAAUGCAAAAGUGCAUUACUGGGGAUCUUCGAGAGCUUUGGAAAUCAAAUCUGCAAAACUGCAGGUUUUGUGCUCCCAGGGACCGGUCCCAGGUCGGGAAGACCGGUCCCCGAACGCGUAGGCAGCGAGAUGGCCGAAAAAUCGGCUAAGUCCUGGAAAACCAGCUCUCGAGAACCGGUCCUUGCGAGGCGAGACCGGUCCCCAGAGAGCGGUUCCAUUGAGGGAGACCGGUUGCAUCGCUCGCAGCUUGCGCAGUCCGCGGGAGAAGCUCUUGGGGAUCGGUCCCAGGUCGGGGAGACCGGUCCCUGACUGCGAAAAGUGCCCAGUUUGUGCAGUGCACUGGAAAUAAAGUGGAGGGGCCUUGUUGUAAUUGUUACAACACAUUAUACAUCCAACCUCCUCUCCCUUUACAGCCAUUCACACAUCUCUCUCUCACUUUCUCUUUUUUCUCUCUCUAGAGAGCUAACCCUAGAGCUUGGAGAAGAAGAAGGAGAGGCUUGGAGGAGGAUCCUUGGUGGAUUUUGGUGGUCCAAGGAGCUCUCCAACAAGAAGGAGCUUGCUAGGGCUUGGGCAAAGGUGAGUUUACUUACCUUUUGAGUCUAGGGUUUGGUUUUGAUCACUAAGUCUUGGAGUUUUGGGGUCCUUGUGAGCUUUAGAAACCUUGUUGAGCUAGAAGCCAUGAAAUCCAUGGUUUUCUUGUAGAGCUCUCAUGGUGGAUCACUAGGGCUCAAAGUAGAGGCCCUAGGGUUGGUUCAAGAGGCUUGGAAACUUUAUUAGAAUGCUUUUUAGAUGAUUCUAAGCUAUCUUUUGCUUAGGGAUGAGAUCAAUCUAGGAGCUAUUGCUAUAGGGCAUUGUUAGGGCUCAAAUUUGGAGCUUUUGCCCUAGAAAUUUUCGAGGACGAAUUGACCUCAUAGAAACCUAAUUGGGGGUGUCCUCGUUGCGUUGGACAACUCCAUUCGACGUUACGAAAAUGUUUAAGUAUAGUUCGUGUACAAAAGGCCUAAUAAGGCACUAUUUUGAUUAUAGGGCGCGGAAUCGGCUUUCGUAAAAUUCGGGAGUCAUCAUAUUCUACACCUACACGACCAUUAGAGGUGGGGGGUGCACGCCGGAAUUAUCGGAUUCCCCUUUAUGUCUAUUUACACCUUUGUUGAGCAUACUUGUAUAUAGAGACAUUCAUGCAUAUUAGAGUAGUUCACAUGUGAAUGAUGGUUUAAUUUUAUUUAUAUGCUUCUAAUGUAGUUGAACAUGUAAAAUGAUUUAAGCCAUAGCGGACAAGUAUGUUGAGACUCUAAACUUGUGUGAAUGUAGGACUUGAACUUGACUACAGUGAACAAAGGUGGCAUUGACAAUAGAGACAUGAUUGGCCUUGAAAUGAUAUUGUUACACAAGGUUUGACAAUAAUGACAUUGUAGGAAGAAUGACUUAGUACAUGACAUAAACAAUAGGUAAGAACCUAUCAAGACAUAUGCAUUAUGACUAGUGGCUAUGUAUCCUCAACUUGAGGAUUGGAUUAAGGCUCACGUGGACUUAGGCUUCAGGGAGGUCACUCCUCCUCAAGUGGUGUACUCCGGAGUGUAGACACCACGGGGAAGAACCCCGUCGACGAUCCCUCGGGUGGAAGUGCUAAUUGCCUCCCCCGGUAGACGGGAUAAGAAAUUGUGAGCUAUUGGGGUUAACAAAGUUAACCGGUAAGAUUGGGUACAGAAAGACAAAGUAAUGAUAUAGAACAUGCAUGCAUGCAUACCAAAUAUUGUUGAUUACAUAUAUCCACUGACAUUCUUUUGCAGAUAUCGUAAUAGAUGCAUUAGUACUGGUUACUUUUCUUCCUUUGUUGUACUUAUGCCUGGAUAGACCUAGUGGGUAAGUCGGCGAGGUCGGUUGCCGAACCCACUGGAAACUUCGUUCUAGUUCUCAUGACCACUAACCCUACAGGUCCUAGCAUGAGCGGGGCGGCGGAGGACCGAGGCAAGGGUUUAGCGCCGUAGGUAGCGGCCACCGGGACUUUUUCACAUUUUGUAGUAAUUUCCCUUUUGGUUUACAUGUAUCAACUUCUUUUGUUGAUUUAGAAAGUUGUAAAGUUGAAACAAAUAUGUAAUUUGGUGAAUGGCUAAAUGUAAGGAAUUAUGAAUGAAUGCAAAUAAAUGUAAUAGUUCAGUUUACUUUUAUUUGGUGCAAAAGCAAUAAAGUAUUAUGUAUCUUGCGUAUGAUAGAUUAGAGCUUUCGCUUCCGUUGUUGCUUGCCCUCGUGCAAGCCUUGUAUAAAUGCUAAUCUCAUUAUUUGAUUGCUUUAUUAUACAUAUUUUAGAGCCUUGGGCGGCAGGAGAGGCUCUGUCCGUUCGGCGUCUGUUGACGUGACCCGAACCCGACCAAAUUGGCGGGGAUUGGGGCGUGACAGAUAUAAUGGUAUCAGAGCGAAGUUGAAAGCAAAAGUCUAGGAAUGACCUAAGAACCCUAGGAAUUGGAGACCUUAGGAGCUUAGGAAACGUUUAACGUGGAUUUGGUUUAUGCGAAAGCAAAUGAUUGGAUUAACGAUAACACUUCUCUAGAAGGAAGUAGAGAUGUAUUAGAAGGCUUAAUUGUUGUCUACUUAAGGGACUUUGUGGGGCGGCCGACCACAUGACACCGAGAGUGGAAAUGAUUAUGCUUAUUGCGUUCGCUUAAUUGGGAAGUUAUUUGGAACGUGUAAGAGUCACGUGUCUCGAGUACUAAUGUGUGUGUGCAUUACGUUUCAGGACGUGAUGGCACCACCAAGAAGAGUUACGAGGUCCACGCCGGCGGAGCCUCGGGAGGAACCCGGGCAGUCGGGGUCGGACGAAGUACACGAGUUGCGAGCCCAGGUAGCGGCUUUGGCCUGGGCUAUGCGACAGCAAGGGGAGCAGAUUGGACAGCUCCACACGAUGAUAGCCCAACAGGCAGCAGCAGCUGUACCUAGGGAUCCGCCCGCGCCCGCUGCUCCUGUGGCGCCUACGCCGGUGGUAGUGGCGGCACCGGUGACGGUUGUUCCUUCGGCGGCAUCGGGUUCAUCGGCUCCUACUUCCGAUGUACUUGAGGCCGAGAAGGAGCGAUCAUUGGCGGCUUUGACGGCCUUCAAGAGGUUUAACCUUCCGACCUUCGACGGCGAUGUCAAGGAUCCGUGGCUGGUGGAGUCAUGGCUAGCCGCGAUGGAGGCGUUGUUCGAGGAUAUCUACACCCUCGACAAGGAUAAGGUUCACCUAGCGGCCCAUUGUUUUGACGGGAAGGCGCGGCUAUGGUGGACUCAAGCCAAGAAGAACCACUCUUUGGACUCUGCUUCCGUCACCUGGGAGAUGUUUCGGGAGAUGCUACUGUUGGAGUACUUUCCUGACAGCGACCGGCGGAAGAUCAAGGAGGACUUCCGCAAAUUGAGACAAGGAGGUCGAACGGUGCGGGAAUAUGAGCGGGAGUUCACGCACCUUACAAACUGUGUGCCAAGCUUGGUCCAUGGCGAUAGGGACCGGGCAGAGACGUUCGAGCGUGGGUUGCGGCCGGAGAUCUUCAAGAUCAUACAUGCGCUCCGGCUAAAGACCUAUGAGAAGGUUCUCGAUCGGGCGCUCUGGGUCAAGGGCGGCAACGCAAUUGCCCAAGAUGAGCGCGAGGCGUACGAGAAGGAUAAAGAAAGGGACAAGACCAAGAAGCGACUAGCUGGUGGGUCAGCGGGUCAAUCGAGCUCUAAGCGACCCCCGCGACCACAGCGAUCGUACGGGCUGGGAGGCAGGAGCGACUUCCUUCCCGUGUGUUAUUUGCAGCGGGAAUCAUAGGCCCAGGGACUGUUCCCAGCGCGAGGGGAGAUGUUACCGAUGCGGUUCUGCUGGACAUAUGUGUUGGGACUAUCCGGGCGGUACAUCUCCAGCCCUCUCAGCGGCCUCAGUUCAGUACACCCCACGGCAGCAGGCAGGACUGCCACCCGCCGUAUCUGCUGGACAAUCGUCGGCGCCUCGUCAGUCGGAGGCCUGUCGAGCACCUAGUGGACGGGUAUUUGCCACUCAGGUAGAGGAGCCGCCAAUUACCGUUCCCGACGACGUCGUGGCAGGUAUUAUUCUUAUCAGAGGCACUAGAGCUAGAGCCAUAUUCGAUAUUGGUGCAUCGCAAUCAUUCAUAACAGCACCAUUUGCACUAGCUCAUGACAUAGAGGUCACGCAUUAUGAGGAUUAUUGGACGGUGACAACACCUGGGCUUACGUUUCAUGUGCAUGACGAGUGUUUGGACUGUCUAGUACAGAUAGGCGAUUGGAUCAUGCCGAUCGACCUAUUAGUGUUGAAGCAACUAUAGGGAUUUGAUGUAAUCUUGGGCACCAACUGGCUCUCCAAGUAUUAUGCAGUUAUUGAUUGUGAAAGGAAGGUGAUCACUUUUCGUGAGCCUAACCAAGAGAAGAUGAUUUAUAAAGCAUGCAAUGGAGCACGCUUCGCGGCGACUAUAUCGUCGGUGAGGGCAAGGAAAAUGAUUAAGGGUGGUUGCAAGGCCUAUUUGGCGACCAUCGUAGACCCUCAAAAGGAGCACCCGCAGUUGGAAAAUAUUCGGGUAGUAUGCGAGUAUCCGGAUGUAUUUCCGGCGGAGUUACCGGGAUUGCCACCGGACAGGGAAGUCGAGUUUGUCAUUGACUUGAUUCCCGGGGCGGCGCCAAUUUCGAAGGCUACGCAUAGAAUGGCACCGGUGGAGCUAAAGGAGUUGAAAACCCAGUUGAAAGACUUGCUCAAUAAAGGCUUCGUGAGGCCGAGCGUGUCUACGUGGGGAGCUCCAGUGCUAUUUGUGAAGAAAAAGAAUGGCACACUUCGACUUUGCGUUGAUUAUCGCGAGUUGAAUAAAGUAACGAUCAAGAAUAAAUACCUGUUGCCGAGAAUUGGCGAUUUAUUCGACCAGUUGCAAGGGUCAAGGGUAUGUUCUAAAAUUGAUCUUCAAUCGGGGUAUCAUCAGUUGAAGAUAAGGCCCAAGGAUGUGCAUAAAACGGCGUACCGUACGCCGUAUGGCCAUUAUGAGUUUACGGUCAUGCCAUUCGGGCUCACUAAUGCCCCGGCGGCAUUUAUGGACCUAAUGAAUAGAGUCUUUCAUCCGCUGUUGGACCGGUGCGUCGUGGUAUUCAUUGAUGACGUAUUGAUAUAUUCUCGGACCGAAGAAGAACACGAAGAGCAUUUAAGGCUCGUGUUGGAGAUACUCCGGAAGGAAAAGCUUUAUGCAAAACUGAAGAAAUGUGAGUUUUGGCUUUCGGAGGUUAGCUUUCUUGGGUCACGUUAUAUCCGGAGAUGGCAUCUCGAUGGACCCAAAGAAAGUUGAGGCGAUUAAAGAUUGGCCUCGCACGACAAGUGUGGCGGAAAUUCAUAACUUCCUUGGACUUGCGGGCUACUACCGGCGUUUCGUGGAGGGGUUUGCCAGGAUAACAACUCCACUAACGCGCCUUACACAUAAAAGGGUGAAGUAUGUUUGGAGCCCCGAGUGUGAGCGUAGCUUUAAGGAGCUAAAGAAUAGAAUGACAUCUACUCCGGUGCUUGCCUUGCCGACACCGGGAGAGAGUUAUGUCGUAUACAGUGAUGCUUCAUACAUUGGUCUCGGGUGUGUCUUAAUGCAGAGUGGCCGCGUCAUAGCUUAUGCUUCGCGCCAAUUGAAGAGCUAUGAGAAGAGCUACCCGACACAUAAUCUCAAAUUAGCGGCGGUUAUCUUCGCGCUAAAACUAUGGAGGUAUUACUUGUAUGGGGAAUAUUGUGAGAUCUACACUGAUCAUAAGAGUCUCAAAUACUUGUUCACCCAGAAGGAGUUGAAUUUGCGACAGCGGCGGUGGUUAGAGUUACUGAAAGAUUAUGAUGUUACGAUUCUCUACCACCCCGGGAAAGCAAACGUCAUGGCCGAUGCUCUGAGUAGAAAGUCGGCGGAAAAUUUGGCGAUGGCAGUUACACCUCAACCGGCUUUGCAAAGAGAGAUGCAACAGUUUGGUCUAGAAGUUGUGGUGCCGGGAGUGCCGACAACACUUGCCACAUUGGUUGUGCAACCAACCUUGUUGGAGAAGAUUAAAGAAUUGCAAACAUCUGAUGAGUUUCUCCAAAAGGUGCAGAGCAAAGUUGAGAGCGGUAGUGCCGAUGAUUUUGGCAUUGGGGCCGACGGUGCACUUCAAUAUUGGGAUAGUUGGUGCGUGCCCAAGGACGACGAUCUUCGGAGCGCGAUUAUGCAAGAAGCGCAUCAAUCUCCCUAUAGCAUUCACCCGGGCGGCACUAAAAUGUACCAAGACCUAAAGUUGCAUUUUUGGUGGCCGGGCAUGAAAAGGGAUAUAGGAGAGUUCGUGGCACAAUGUCUCACGUGCCAGCAAAUAAAGGCGGAACGUCGAUUUUCGGCGGGAAAAUUGCAAAGUCUACCUAUACCCGUGUGGAAAUGGAAAAACAUUGCAAUGGAUUUCGUGACGGGUUUGCCUAGAUCACAAGGUGGACAUGACGCGAUUUGGGUAGUUGUGGACCGGUUGACAAAAUCGGCACACUUUUUGCCGAUCCACACUACUUGGUUGCGAGACAAGUUAGCUCAAGUCUAUCUCGAUGAGAUUGUGAGACUUUAUGGGGUUCCGGUAUCUAUUGUAUCGGAUCGGGACCCUAGGUUCAUAUCUCAUUUUUGGAAGAGCUUGCAAGAUGCAUUGGGCACACGGCUCGACUUCAGUAUGGCAUUUCAUCCUCAAAGUGACGGUCAAUUGGAAAGGACGAUUCAAAUCCUUGAGGAUAUGCUUCCAGCGUAUGUACUCGAUUUUAAGGGCGGAUGGCACGAUCAUUUGCCGAUGGCGAAAUUCGCAUACAACAAUAGCUAUCAAGAAAGUAUUGCGAUGGUGCCAUUCGAGGCCCUUUAUGGAAGGAAGUGUCGCUCGCCUAUACAUUGGAGCGAGGUGGGUGAGAAAAUGGUUCUUGGCCCGGAUGUUGUGCGGGAGGUGGAGGAGAAAGUUCGCCUUGCCCGACAAAGAUUAGCGACGGCGCAAUCGAGGCACAAGAGUUAUACUGACAAGCGGCGAAAGGAUAUUGAGUUUGCGGUUGGCGACCGUGUAUUCUUAAAAGUAUCACCGAUGCGGGGAGUAAAGCGGUUCGGUGUUCGCGGGAAGCUAAGUCCCCGCUAUAUCGGACCCUUCGAGAUUUUGGAACGAGUUGGCGCGGUGGCAUACAAGUUAGCAUUACCAUCGAGGCUUGAGGGGGUGUACGACGUGUUUCAUGUAUCCAAUCUCCGCAAGUAUGUCCAUGAUCCGGAGCAUAUUCUCUCGUAGAUACCGAUAGAGCUUCAAGAGGAUAUGACUUACGAGGAGUUCCCGGCAUACAUCGUCGAUCGAAAGAUGCGAAAACUACAGAGUCGUGAAAUUCCGUAUGUUAAGAUUCAUUGGAGUGAAUACGGCGGUCGGGAAGAAACGUGGGAGCUCGAGGACUCGAUGAAGGGGCGUUAUCCCCAUCUCUUCGAAGAACUGGAUUGAGGUAUGAACCUCAAUUUCUAGAUAAUCAAUUUUGCGGACGAAACUAAAUUUAAGGGGUGGAGAAUGUAACAUACCGAAACCUCGGCAAUUAAAUUCGAACCUUGGUCAAAUUGACCAAAGUGCGAGGUUGGUACGCUUUGGAAAGACCGAAGGCGUAAAAUAAUGCAAAAGUGCAUUACUGGGGAUCUUCGAGAGCUUUAGAAACCAAAAUCUGCAAAACUGCAGGUUUUGUGCUCUCAGGGACUGGUCCCAGGUCGGGAAGACCGGUCCCUGAACGCGUGGGCAGCGAGAUGGCCGAAAAAUUGGCUAAGUCCUGGAAAACCAGCUCUCGGGAACCGGUCCUUGUGAGGAGAGACCGGUCCCCAGAGACCGGUUCCAUUGAGGGAGACCGGUUGCAUCGCUCGCAGCUUGCGCAGUCCACGGGAGAAGCUCUCGGGGACCGGUCCCAGGUCGGGGAGACCGGUCCCGGACUGCGAAAAUGCCCAGUCUGGGCAGUGCACAAGAAAUAAAGUGGAGGGGCCUUGUUGUAAUUGUUACAACACAUUAUACACCCAACCUCCUCUCCCUUUACAGCCAUUCACACAUCUCUCUCUCACUUUCUCUCUUUUCUCUCUCUAGAGAGCUAAUCCUAGAGCUUGGAGAAGAAGAAGGAGAGGCUUGGAGAAGGAUCCUUGGUGGAUUUUGGUGGUCCAAGGAGCUCUCCAACAAGAAGGAGCUUGCUAGGGCUUGGGCAAAGGUGAGUUUACUUACCUUUUGAGUCUAGGGUUUGGUUUUGAUCACUAAGUCUUGGAGUUUUGGGGUCUUUGUGAGCUUUAGAAACCUUGUUGAGCUAGAAGCCAUGAAAUUCAUGGUUUUCUUGUAGAGCUCUCAUGGUGGAUCACUAUGGCUCAAAGUAGAGGCCCUAGGGUUGGUUCAAGAGGCUUGGAAACUUUAUUAGAAUGCUUCUUAAAUGAUUUUAAGCUAUCUUUUGCUUAGGGAUGAGAUCAAUCUAGGAGCUAUUGCUAUGGGGCAUUGUUAGGGCUCAAAUUUGGGGCUUUUGCCCUAGGAUUUUUCGAGGGCGAAUUGACCUCGUAGAAACCUAAUUGGGGGUGUACUCGACGCGUUGGACAACUCCAUUUGACGUUACGAAAAUGUUUAAGUAUAGUUCGUGUACAAAAGGCCUAAUAAGGCACUAUUUUGAUUAUAGGGUGCGGAAUCGGCUUUCGUAAAAUUCGGGAGUCGUCAUAUUCUACACCUACACGACCAUUAGAGGUGGGGGAUGCAUGCCGGAAUCAUCGGAUUCCCCUUUAUAUCUAUUUACACCUUUGUUGAGCAUACUUGUAUAUAGAGACAUUCAUGCAUAUUAGGGUAGUUCACAUGUGAAUGAUGGUUUAAUUUUAUUUAUAUGCUUCUAGUGUAGUUGAACAUGAAAAAUGAUUUAAGCCAUAGCGCACAAGUAUGUUGAGACCCUAAACUUGUGUGAAUGUGGGACUUGGACUUGACUAUAGUGAACAAAGGUGGCAUUGACAAUAGAGACAUGAUUGGCCUUGAAAUGAUAUUGUUACACAAGGUUUGACAAUAAUGACAUCGUGGCAAGAAUGACUUAGUACAUGACAUGAACAAUAGGUAAGAACCUAUCAAGACAUCGGCAUUAUGACUAGUGGCUAUGUAUCCUCAACUUGAGGAUUGGAUCGAGGCUCACGUGGACUUAGGCUUGAGGGACGUCGCUCCUCCUCAAGUGGUGUACCCCGAAGUGUAGACACCACGGGGAAGAACCCCAUCGACGAUCCCUCGGGUGGAAGUGCUAAUUGCCUCCCCCACUAGACGGGAUAAGAAAUUGUGAGCUAUUGGGGUUAACAAAGUUAACCGGUAAGAUUGGGUAUAGAAAGACAAAGUAAUGAUAUAGAACAUGCAUGCAUGCAUACCAAAUAUUGUUGAUUACAUAUAUCCGCUGACAUUCUUUUGCAGGCAUAGUAUUAGAUGCAUUAGUACUGGUUACUUUUUUUCCUUUGUUAUACUUAUGCCUGGAUAGACCUAGUGGGUAAGUCGGCGAGGUCGGUUGCCGAACCCAUUGGGAACUUCGUUCUAGUUCUCAUGACCACUAACCCUAUAGGUCCUAGCACGAGCGGGGCGGCGGAGGACGGAGGCAAGGGUUUAGCGCCGUAGGUAGCGGCCACCGGGACUUUUUCACAUUUUAUAGUAAUUUCCCUUUUGGUUUACAUAUAUCAACUUCUUUUGUUGAUUUAGAAAGUUGUAAAGUUGAAAACAAAUAUGUAAUUUGGUGAAUGGCUAAAUGUAAGGAAUUAUGAAUGAAAGCAAAGAAAUGUAAUAGUUCAGUUUACUUUUAUUUGGUGCAAAAGCAAUAAAGUAUUAUGUAUCUUGCGUAUGAUAGAUUAGAGCUUUCGCUUCCGUUGUUGCUUGCCCUCGUGCAAACCUUGUAUAAAUGCUAAUCUCAUUGUUUGAUUGCUUUAUUAUACAUGUUUUAGAGCCUUGGGCGGACAGGAGAGGCUCUGUCCGUUCGGCGUCUCUUGACGUGACCCGAACCCGACCAAAUUGGCGGGGAUUGGAGCGUGACACUCAGAGUACUUCAUGGGUUUGUAGAAGUGUUUCGGUGAAUUUUCGAGAAUUCUGGUAUGUUUCAGGAAUCGAUAAAUGGAAUUGAUCACCCGAUGGUUUUACUAGUGAUUACGAUGAAUUUGGGUCACUUUGGUGUUAAUUUUGGAUUGUGAGACUGAUUGAAACUUUUGAAUCUUUCUUAGGUCCGGGCGAUGUUUAAGACCAUCCGUUGAGUCGCGAACUUGAUUUUGGUCUUGAAGUGCAUGCUUCAAUCCAAAGUCGACAAAGUGGUGCCUACUCGGUUAUCUUCUUUUACCCUUUAUUCUUCUCUAUGAUUGAGUAUUUCUUUUGUACCAUUUGACUCAUUAUUUUAUUUUCUCUAUUUUCGUUGAUAUAUCAUGUAGAUUAUUUUUGUGUUGUAGAGCUGUUGACCUUUCAUUAUUUGAUUACAUUACAUGGUAGCAGUUGACCUGGUACUAUACUAUUACGUUUGUGACAUUGUUUGACCCAUAUUGGUUGAUGAACUUUCUAGUUAACUCUCUUGACUAUUUGUAGAAAGUUUGGCUAUUGAGCAUAUAGCAUCAAUCGCCACUGCUCACGGAGCAUUUCAUGUACACCAGUUGUUUCGCCACCGUAAUGGUAUUCUUUUUUGAAAAAGUGGUCGUAUUUGGACCCGUGAACCCUAUGCGAUAUUUUUGCAGUGAGGUUACAUGCCGGUGGCUGAGUAUAGAUGUGGCAUUGCCUAAGAUCUUUAGACCAAUAUGGCAAUAUUUGCAUUGGGUUUGGAUAUAGACUAUUUUUCCAGUUGAUGCAUACAUGUAUAUGUUUACCCUUGUUAUAGUAGCAAUAUUAUUUUAGAUGUUUAGUCAUAUACUUCCUUUCCUAUUUUACUUUUGCUACUGUACCAGUUAUAUCUGCUUGUACCUAUCAUAUUUAUCUUAUCACUCUAUCUUGUUUACUAGUGGGUACAGCUGGUCUUCAGCGGCUUGCAGUACCAACUAAAAAAUAUGUGUACAUAUUUCUCAUCCUCUAUUUUCUUCAGGUGAGGUUAAGGAUCAGGACAGUGCAUGAGGUGGCUAUUAGAUAGUUGUGUUCCCUUGGCAGUAACUUCGAGAUUUAGUUUUAUUUCUUGUGUUUUAGACCCUUGUUAUUUAGUUAUCAUUCAUAUAGCAAUUGUGGAUUUAUGCUUCUCAGUACUUUUCAUAUAGUUUCUUUUCAGUUCGAUUUUCAGUAUUAGUAUCUCCUUACCGGGUAAUUGUUUAUACACCCUAUUAGUUUAUUAUUUAUAUGUUGUUGUUGUUGUUCUUACUAUUGUGGUUGAUGUGAUAGUUGAAUGUUGUAAUCUUGGUUCCUACGCCAUGCAUGUGCAGAAAAGACUCUGUCCGUAUGUUGUUUACUCAUCUUGUUACUUUAUUAUUUAUAUGUUGUUGUCGUUGUUUCUAUUACUAUUGUAGUUGAUGUGAUGGUUGAAUGUUGUAAUCUAGAUUUCUACGCCAUGUAUGUAUAGAAGGGACUCUGUCCAUGUGGCAGGUCUGUGCAUAUUCGGGGGAGUCUUUUAGUUUUAUAUAUGUAUGCGUUUUUCGUUGUUUUUCCUACAGAAUGUUUUAUAAAAGAGCUCCAGAAUGCGACACCAUCCUCAUCUCGUCUAGAUCUUCCUUAAUUUGUCACUUUUAUGGGUCUUUACUGAAUAUCUAGGGAGUAUUGAUAAAAGGUUUUAAUAUUUCAUGAAAUAAUAUUUGAAUUUGUGAAAUCCUCACAUAAAAUUUAAUAAUAAAUAUUUCCUCUAUCACUACGACCGUAAGUCCAUAUAUAAUGUAAGGAGAAAUUGCGACAGUCCUAUGGGCAGUCUUCUUAUCCACAAUAUCCUCAAUCAAAUAUAUUGACAAUAAUGUUUUGAAAUGAAAUAAUAAUUAGGUACAUUAAUCCCCUGUAUACUGAACUAUCAUUUUCCAAAAGUCUAUUUCAUCUUGCUUGUAUUUCAGUUGCGGCCAUCUCUAGUGAAGUACCUUACAACAGGAAAUUCUAGAGUGAAACCAAAUAAACUUCAAAGCUACAAGUUCAAUUUAGCGUUUCUAUUUCUACUCUAAAGACAAGUAGAAAUUAAUUAAGGCCUGAAAGGAGUUACAUUGGCAGAACUUUAUCCGACAUUAGCAAAAUAGCUUGUAAAAUUUGUUUGUUAGUUGGUCCUUUUCAAUGCGUUUCCUACUAGGUAUCUUUAUAGAGAAUAUAUAUAUGCAAAUUCUACAAAGUUACACCUUCAUGAUGAUGAUGACAAGGCUAUUCAUUGGUAUUUGAUUUCUCUUCACCGACGAGGAGCAGCGGCUAUGUAAAGGAGUGAGGAGGAAGGAAGAUUUUCCUAAACUUGUCUUCUUAUUCUCUCAGGUGAACUGCGGUGGUGACAUGCGAGGGAUAUGUGAGACAGAGAGCACACAUGCUCUUCUUCCUCUUCUCCGUCAAUAGGCAUGCAGAAGUGGCAAGUGAGCGCCGGUAGCGGCAUACCUUGCUUGGAUGGCAAAAUAUAUUGUUUAAAGAAUCUAAUUCCGUAUGGAAAUUUUUUAGUAUGGUUGUAAGUAUGUUGUUAAUUCUUUCUUUUUUCAAAAGCUUACUAUCUAUGAUUUAGCAGAAUAGUAUAUUUUUUACCUACAAUAUAAUUUUAUUUUAUUUUGAAAAAACUAAUUUGAAAGAGAAACAUCAUAUUUCAUUAUAGGGUUAAUUGCAUGCAGGUCUCUGCAAACAUGGUGAAUUGCAGAUAUAUCCCUACAAAGUUCAAUCCCUGCAAAAGUCUUAAUAUAUUCAGAUAUGUCUCUCUGGUUUUAGCAUCCGUUAGAAAACUGUUUAUUUUUUAAUAGUAGAUUCGUGAAGUGAUAUUUUUAGUCUUACAAAUAUGUCCCUCCAAAAGCUCCAGCUGGUAUACGUUUGCAGAAAUGCCUUCACAAAUGUCACUUUUUCCCUUUUCUCUUCCUUUUCGGGCUGCGGGAGUGGAUGACGGCAACGGCGACGGCGGCGGCAGCGGCGGCUACGUUGCCGAGCUUGUCGGAGUUGCGGCCGACGAGAAUGAGGUUGAGGCCCGCAGAGACGAGACGGAGGGCGAAGGUGCCGCCGAUUCGAAGAAAGAGGAGAAAAAGGAAGAGGAAGAAGAAGGAGGAGAAUAGGAGGAGAAAAAUUAAGGAGGAUAUGAAGAAGAAGAAGAAGAAGAAGAAGAAGAAGAAGCAGAACAUGAAGAGGAAGAGGAAGAAGAAGAAGAAAAAUAGUAAAAUUGUCAAUUCACCUUAUUAAUUAACCAUGUUUAAAUAUUUUAACUGUGGUUAACUAAAUUUGUCUAACGGAUCUUAACGGUAGAGGCAUAUCUAAAUACAUUAGGAUUUUUCAGGGAUAACUUAUGAAAGAUGAGCUUUACAGGAAUAUAUCUGCAAUUCACUAUAUUUGCGAGGAUCUGUAUGCAAUUAAUCCUUCAUUCUAAAUAUUUGAUCACACUAUUUAUCAAUCAAAUAUAUUAAUUACUCGAGUAAAUUAAAAAAAUAUAUCAUACAAAAUAUUCAUGUAUGCAAAUAAAUCCUUAAAUAUUAAAUUGUUAUCCUAAAAUCCAUAUGUGGACCUGUUUCAAGAAGAGAUCAACAUUUCUCGAUGUUCGUUUAGUGGGAGGUGAUCUCCGCAAGGAAAUAACAUACAGAAAUUUCAUUAAUUCUUAAUAAAACUUCUUACUCAUCAACCAAAAGAGAUAAAUAAAUAAAUAAAUAAAUAAUAAUUACAUAUAAAAUAUUAAAAUACUAUAUUUACAAUUUAAUGUUUUAGUAAUAAUAAUAAAUAUUAUUUUACAAGACACGAUACAAAUAAACCGACCGUCCGUAACGCAAGUGGCAAAAAGUUUGAUGGUCGGUAUCCGAGGUUCCAAAUUUGAAUAUUAGUUGAUUCACAUUUUCAGCUGAGUUUAUUUUAAAUAAAAUAAACGAACCAGAUAGCAUGUUACCUAUCUCUCAAAAAAAGACACGAUACAAAUAAUACUUUUUCUAACAGCAUAAAAAUUUAGAAAAAAAAAUGAUUACCUCAUUACAAGAAAAGAAUGAAAAAAAAAACUUACAGCAACGCCGAAGACGAAAGAACCACAGACGGCGACGGCAGUGCUGAACAGAACCAUGGAGAUGGACUCCUCGCUGCGCGGCAGCCUGCCGCCGAUGAGCGGCUCCCUCCCACCACCAUUCUCGUACUCUCUGAUAUUUGCCAUGCACGUAUGACUGCUUCCCUCGCGUCUUUUUUUAUCUCUCUCUUUUUGUUUCUCCUUCCUAGUUAUAUUACAGUGGUUAUUGAACCCAAAAAAAAAAAGAAAGAAAAAAAAAGACGAUCCUUUAUUUGCUCUCCUUUUUCUCUCUCUCUCUUAUAAGGAGUUAGUCACGUGGCCUAGUCGUGUACGCACCUUAUCAACAGCUGUCUCUCUUUUCUAUUUAUACAUAGCAAAAGCUAAGAAUAGCCAUUAUUUGCCCUAGAGUUUUGGGAUGGCUACAUACGCAUAGCUAUUUUCCCGGGCAUCUUGGUCCAGUACUUCAUUUGGCCAUUAAACUGCAUUUAACUGUGUGUUUAGUUCCUCGUAAAAAUUAUCCUGUUUAUUCUUUUGUAGAGCACAAUUUCAUCACAAAAAGUAAAAUGUUCGUCCACAAAAUUAUUCGUGCAGCAAAAUAUUUUUGGCUAACUACAGCGCUGCCAUAAUAACCUCGCUAUAAAAAAUUAUUGUGAGGAAAAAAACUCUCGCCACAAAAGAUGCCACUAUAUAUUUGUGAUGAAAUAGUACGUGUUGGGAUAAAAAUUUUUUAAAAAAAUUCAAAUUGAAAAUAUAGAAGGAAAGAAAUUAAAUUGCAAUUUAAUUACUAUUUUUUUUAGAGGAUUAGGUGUCAAUAAGGAAAGAGAUAAAGAAAAUCUUAUUACCCUAUCUUCAAAAUUUUUUUGAAUUAUUUUUCAAAACCGAAGAGGUCCUAGAAUCACUAUAAAUUGAACCAUGGAUUAAAAAAAAAUGAGUUUUUUUGGGAGAAGAAAAGGGACAUAAAAAAAAAAAAAGAAAGCAAAAAAAAAAAGAGAGAAAGUAAGAGAGAGGGGAGUCCCCUCUCUCACAAGCCAACAAAAACAAAGAAAAAAGAAAAAGAAGAAAAAGAAGUUGAAAGCACAACAACCACGGCGACAGCUACGACAACUCCGACGACGACAACGGCGCGCAAGGAGGCCUUAUGGUGAUCUGGGACGAUCAAACCAUCCGGAUAAGUCUCAAUGGUUGCGGAUAAGGCGGAGGUCGUUCCAACUAAUUCUGUUAGGAAGACGGAGAUGGUUACAACUAAUUCUGUUAAGAUAUGGAUCGAGAGGAUUCCAACUAAUUCGGUUUGGAUAUAAAUCGAACUAAUUCGGUUAAAAUAUGAAUCGAAACGGUUCCAACUAAUUCGGUUAGGAUAAGAUCGAGAUGGUUUCAACUACUUCGGUUAGAACAAGAAUAAAGUUGUUAUUUUGUUCUUAUCUUCUUGUAAGCCGGAAGGCAAUAAAUAGGAGCCCUACCGGCUCUUGUAAAUCAUUCCAGUUUUAGAGAGAAUUAAUAUACAGACUCUUCCACAUACAAAUAUUGUGUUCUUUUCUUUUUGUUUUCUUAAAUCUGGUUUCAGAUAUCCAUCGGGGAGGCGCUGCGACAUUGCUUUCUCCUCCGACGGAUCAAGUGGUAUCAGAACAUCUGACCCUGGUGCAUUGUGCGAACCAGAAGCAUCUACAAAGCUACCGGCGAACAACUCUCCGUCCUCGACAUCUUCCAUAAGCCACCGACGAGGAAAAUGAAGAGUGCAUCUACCAUGUCUGCAGACGAGCAGAUAGCGAAGCCAUCCGACCUUGCCGCCAAGGUCGCCGCUGUAAUAUAUCGAAACUUCGGUAAAUAAAUAUCGAACUUUAGUCAAAUUGACCAAAGUGCGAGGUUGGUACGCUUCGGAAAGGCCGAAGGCGUCAAAAAGGGUAAAAGUGCAUUGUUUGGGGUUUUCGAGAGCUAAAGAAUCAAAAAUCUGCUUACUGCAGCUUUUGAGCUGUCGGGGACCGAUCCUUGGUGGGAGAGACCGGUCCCCGAAUGCGAAAAAUCUCAGAGAUGGAAAAUCGACUAAGUCCCAGAAAAUCAGCUCUCGGGAACUGGUCCUUGCAAGGAGAGACCGGUCCCCGAGAGACCGGUCCCUCUGGGAGAGACCGGUUGCAUCAUGUGUGAGCCCUGCUGAUCGUGGGGAGAGCUCUCUGGGACCGGUCCCCUGCUCGAGAGACCGGUCCCCGAGCCCGAAAACUGCCCAGUCUGGGUAGUGUAACAGGAUUAAAGUUGAGGGGCCUAAAUGCAAAAGUGACAUGAGUGGGCUAUGUAUGAGGGGUUAUGGGACAUUUCCUCUCAUUCUCUCCCUCUCACACACUCUCUUUUCUCUUUCUCUCUCUAGAAGGCAAGGAGAAAGAAGAAGAAGGAAAGGAAAAGAAAGAGAAGGAAGGUGAAGAAGAAGGCAAGGGAGUGGAGCUACUUCCUCUUCUUCCUCCUUGGUGCUAGAAAGUGAAGCUUUUAGAGGUAAGCUUCAACCUCUUUCCUGGUAGAACCCUAAGUAGGGUUUUGAUAGAGCUAAAAAUGGUUUUAGUAAAAUCUCUUGAGUAUUUGAAGCUUUUCUUUUGCUUCCUAAUGAGAUCAAAACCUAGGGUUUUGAUAUAUGUUGAAGCUAGGGCACCCAAAUUGGGGCUUUUGCUUGUGAGGAUUUCAAAGCUAAAUUGACCCUCCAGAAACCUAAUUGGAGGUAUUUUCGACACGUUGGUGCGCUCGGUUCGUCGAAACGAAAAGCCUAUGUGGAGAUAUAAGCAAAAAGGGCCUAAUUUGGCUUCGUUUUGCCGCAGGUAGCAAACUAGGCAGCUAAAAAUUCUGAGAAAAUCGUCGUAGCAUCCUAGCAAACCUACAAGGUGGGUGGUGCUUUCCAAACUUGUUGAAAUUCCUUUUAUGUCUAAUGUGUCACUUUCUUGAGCAUGUGAGCAAAUGUUUGUGCAUGCAUUGUGGGGUAAAUGAGAUGAUAGUCAUGUGAAGUGCAUGUUGUGAGUACAAUUUGCAUAAUGAGAUGGUUGAGAACCAAUAAGAAUGUAAUAACCCUAUAUGUGCAUGUAAAGAGACAAGAAUUGAGAAUAGUUAAAGAACAAGUGAUAUGUGACAUGAGGACAAUGUAAUGUUAAGAACAAAAGCUAGAGUUAGCAUCAAAUGUGUGGCAUCAAAGAACAAAAGUUAGAGUUAGCAUCAAAUGUGUGGCAUCAAAGAACAAAAGCUAGAGUUAGCAACAAUUGUGGCCUAAAGAACACUAGAGUUAGUGUAAUGACAUAAUCGAGAACAGAGAAUGCAAAGAACUUGAGAUUGAGACACAAUGACAUACAACCUUAGAGCUAAGGGUCAUUUGUGCAUAAUUUUCUCAGAGUUAAGGAAUGGAUUGAACUGAACAUCCUUUGAAUUAAGGAUUUGAUCAUACUCGCUAUAAGUCCUUGCUCGAGGGUGGUCGCUCCCUCUCGGGCGAUGCGCUCCGGAGUUUGUCAUCACUGGGUUGGUGCUAUUCCCCAGAGGACGGUCCCAACGGGAGGAAGCUGAGGGCCCGUUAAAUGGAAUUUUGAGUGGGUGAGUUAAUGAGGCGAAACCCCCGGGUUAGCCGUAAGAUUGAACGAAAGAGAUUGAACGAAAGACCAAAGAACUUGCAUUCUACAUGAGUUUUAUAUUGAGCAUCUUUAUUGAUAGCAUUAUUUAGGCAUAUUAGCUGCAUAUGUAUAGUUGGUUGCUUAUCUUAUUCUUCCUAUUAUGCCUGAGUUAGACCUAGCGGGAAAGUCGGUGAGAUUGGGGCCGAACCCACUUGGAACUUCGUUGUAAUUCUCACCCCACUAUUUCCACAGAACCGGGACCGAGCGAGCCGGCGAGCGACCGCGGUAAAGGUAUCGCGCUGUAGAUAGAGGCUACCCGAGUCGGAUUUUACAUUUUGUUAGUAGCUUACCAUUCUAUCUUCUUUUGUAUUUGAAGAUGCUGAUGUAUAAAGUAAAGAAAGAAAAGAAUGUAAUGUUUCACCUUGAGCAAAUGCGAUGUAAAAAGAAAUGAUGAAAAGCAAUGUAAAGGCAAAUGUGAUAGUUGAAUACAGUGUAUAUGAUCAAAGAUGAAUCAUAGAACUUGUGUAUGUUUCCGCUAGUGCUUUUCUUAACUUGAAAUUGUACAGGUGAUGAGCCUUGGGCGGACAGGAAAAACUCUGUCCGUUCGGCGUCUGUUCGACGUGUCCGGACCAGCCCAAAUUGGUAUCGGUCCCGGGGCGUGACAGAUAUGGUGGUAUCAGAGCCCAAAGUGAAAGAAUAGGAAUGGAUCUACAGACCCUUAGGAAUUGGAAAGCCUUAAGGAUCUAGGAAACGUGAGUGACGUGGAAUCAAAGUUAGCGAAAGCAUGUGAUUGGGUCAAGUUGGGAUGUCUCUAAUGUGAUUGGGGACUAAGUUGAAUUGAUGUUUGUUCUCUACUCUUGGUGUUGUGUCGGACGGCCGACGACAUAAUGCUUUGGAGUGAGGAUGGAUACCUAAGUUGCUUUCGCCGGAUUGGGUAUGGUUGAGUAAUGUUGGUCAUGUAGCUAAUACGAGUUGCUUCAUUUCAGGAAGCAAAGGCACCUCGUGGUGGACCUCGAACAAGGUCAAUGCCAGAGGAGCCAAAUGCGGCGCCCGAGCAAUCCGGAGCGAGUGGCGACGGUGAGCUUCGGGAGCAAAUGGCCGCGCUUAUUGGCGUGGUACGGCAACAAGCGGAGUCUGUUCAACGCCAAGGGGAGCAGAUUCAAAGGCUCCAAGAGGCUUUGGAACGUCAGCAAGCGGCGGCGGCCCAGGCGGGUGUCGAGCAUGUCGCGCCCCCUGCGGUGGUGCCGAGCGUAGUUGAGGGAGCGGCGGCAGCGGCAGCUGUGCCAGUCAUGGUAGUGCCGGCUGGAUCGGGAACCUCAAAUCCCGAUAGUGCGGCGGUAGAGGCGGAGCGGGAGCGCGUGCUGGCGGCUCUCAUUCAGUUCCAGAAGUUCGGUCCACCUAGUUUUGAAGGUGGCAUGGUGGAGCCAGCGGUAGUGGAGGCGUGGAUCGACUCAAUGGAAACGCUCUUCGAGGACUUAAAUACCUCGGAGAAAGACAGGGUGUACCUCGCCACCCAUUACUUAGAGAAGGCGGCGAUGGUGUGGUGGAAGCGAGUUAAGCGGGAUCGAUCUACCGAUCUUCCGCCUAUGCUUUGGGACGAGUUCAAGAGAGCAGUGUUCACGAACUACUUCCUCGACACGGUAAAGCGGAGACUACAAGAGAAGUUCCGCAAGUUAAGGCAAGGUGAUCGAUCGGUGGGGGAAUAUGAGCAAGAGUUUUCUUACAUCAUCGACUGCGUCUCGGAUGUUGUUCGAGAUGACCGGGACCGGGCUGAUUGGUUCUUACGAGGACUUCAGCCGAGAAUCUAUGAGAAGGUGCAAAUUCUCAAGUUGACAACCUUUGCGAAGGUCUUCGAUCGAGCCUUAUGGGCGGAGCACGGCAGUGCCCACGCGCGAGAGGAGCGCGAGGCUAUGGCCGAGACAAAGGAUAAGGGCAAGAAGCGAGCGUCGGGCGGUGCUGGGGGCCAGUCGAAUACAAAGAAACUCCCUCGAUAUCCCCGACAGUAGUCGAGGAGCUGGAGACCACCUCGGUGCGUCAUAUGUGGCGGAGAGCACCGAGUGUCGACUUACUCGCAGCGUGAAGGAAAAUGUUUCAAGUGUGGCAAACCGGGACAUCUUAUUCGGGAGUGCCCGAGUUGGACGUCUUCUGCGCCGACGGCGGCAUCAGCCUCGUCUACACCGAGACAGUUUGCAGGGUUGCCACCGGCUAUGUCGGCUGGACGCGCGUCAUCACCGCGUCAGCCGGAGGGAUCACGAGCACAUAGUGGCCGGGUUUUCGCCACUCAGGUGGAGGAGCAGCCUGCAGCACCAGAUGACGUUGUCGCAGGUAUUAUUCUGAUUAAUGGCACUAGAGCUAGAGCUUUAUUUGAUACGGGUGCAUUUCAUUCAUUCAUUGGUGCAUCCUUUGCGAAAACUCAUUUCAUCAAAAUAGUGCAUAAUUACGAUUAUUGGUGGGUCAAUGCGCCGGAACAUUCGUUCAGAGUGCACGAGGAGUGUUUGGCAUGUCCGAUUCAGAUAGGUGAAUGGAUCAUGCCGAUAGACCUACUAGUACUAGACAGAAUGUGGGGAUUCGAUGUUAUCUUGGGGACCAAUUGGCUCUCCAAGUAUUAUGCAGUCAUAGAUUACGAGAGUAAGGUGAUCACGUUUCGCAAGCCUAACCAAGAGGAGUUGGUGUAUCGCGCGUGUAAAAGCAAGCGCUUCGCGGCGACCAUAUUGAUGGUGAGGGCCAGGAAGAUGAUCAAGGGUGGAUGUAAAGCCUAUUUGGCAACCAUGAUAGAUACUCAAAGGGAGCACCCGGAGUUGGGAAAUAUCCGAGUUGCGUGUGAGUUUUCAGAUGUAUUUUCGGCGGAGUUACCGGGAUUGCCACCGGACCGGGAGGUUGAGUUUAUCAUUGACUUGAUUCCCGGUGCGGCGCCAAUCUCAAAGGCUCCGUAUAGAAUGGCACCGGUGGAGCUAGUGGAAUUGAAAGCACAACUACAAGACUUGCUCGAUAAAGGCUUCGUAAGGCCGAGCGUGUCACCUUGGGGAGCUCCGGUGCUAUUUGUGAAAAAGAAAGAUGGUACACUUCGACUCUGCGUGGACUAUCGCGAGUUGAACAAAGUGACGGUCAAGAACAAGUACCCAUUACCAAGGAUUGAUGAUUUAUUCUAUCAGUUGCAAGGGUCAAAGGUGUAUCCGAAGAUUGAUCUCCAAUCGGGGUAUCAUCAACUAAAGAUUAGGCCGAAGGAUGUGCACAAAACGGCGUACCGUAUGCGGUAUGGCCAUUAUGAGUUCACGGUAAUGCCGUUUGGGCUUACUAAUGCCCCGGCAGCGUUUAUGGACUUGAUGAACCGAGUCUUUUGGCCGUUGUUGGAUCGAUGCGUCGUGGUGUUCAUAGACGACGUGUUGGUCUAUUCGAAGAGCGAGGAGGAACAUGAAAGGCAUUUGAGAGAUGUGUUGCAAAUCCUCCGACAAGAGAAACUCUAUGCUAAGUUAAAGAAAUAUGACUUCUGGCUGACGGAGGUCGCCUUUUUGGGCCACGUGAUAUCGGACGAUGGAGUCUUGGUAGACCCUAAGAAAGUGGAGGCGAUCAAGGAUUGGCCUCGUUCGACGAGUGUAGCGGAGGUCCGCAGUUUUCUCGGACUUGCGGGCUACUAUCGGCAGUUCGUGGAGGGGUUUGCUAAAAUAACCACUCAGCUAACGCGCCUUACUCACAAAGGAGUAAAGUAUAUUUGGAGCGAUGAUUGCGAUCGGAGCUUCGAGGAAUUGAAGGACAGGUUGACGUCGACCCCGGUGCUUGCCUUGCCGACUCCGGGGGAGACCUUCGUAGUGUACAGUGAUGCUUCAUACAGUGGUCACGGGUGUGUGUUAAUGCAAAAUGGCCGGGUGAUAGCUUAUGCUUCACGCCAUUUGAAAAGUUAUGGAAAGAAUUACCCGGUUCACGACCUUGAAUUAGCCGCGGUGGUAUUCGCGCUAAAGUUAUGGACGCAUUACCUGUACGGUGAGCAUUGUGAGAUUUACACAGAUCAUAAGAGUCUCAAGUACUUGUUCACCCAGAAGGAAUUGAACAUGCGACAGCGGUGGUGGUUAGAGCUGUUGAAGGACUAUGAUGUCACUAUACUUUACCACCCCGGAAAAGCCAAUGUCGUAGCCGACGCGCUGAGUAGGAAAUCAGUGGAAAACUUGGCGAUGGAGAUCACGUCACAACCGUUAUUGCAAAACGAAAUGCAACGGUUGGGCCUCGAAGUGGUAGCGCCGGGAGUGCCAGCAACACUAGCCGUAUUGGUAGUGCAACCGACCUUGUUGGAGAAGAUCAAAGAGCUGCAAGCUUCGGAUUCUUAUCUCCGAAAGGUGCGAAGUGAGGUUGAAAGUGGCAGGGCCGAGGAUUUUGGCAUUGGACCCGAUGGCGCACUUCGAUAUAGAAAUCGUUGGUGUGUGCCUAAAGAUGAUGAGAUACGGAGGGCGAUUAUGCAAGAAGCGCAUCAAUCUCCCUAUAAUAUACACCCGGGCGGCACUAAAAUGUACAAGGAUUUAAAAUUGCAUUAUUGGUGGUCGAGCAUGAAAACAGAAAUUGGAGAGUUCGUGGCGCAAUGCCUUACGUGCGAACAAGUGAAAGCGGAGCGCCGAUUUCCGGCGGGAAAGCUACAAAGUCUACCAAUACCCGUUUGGAAAUGGGAAGAUAUAGCAAUGGAUUUCGUUACUGGUUUGCCUCGAUCUCAAGGCGGACAUGAUGCGGUAUGGGUGAGAGUGGAUCGAUUAACGAAAUCGGCUCACUUUUUGCCGAUUCACACUACGUGGUCGGGAGACAAGCUAGCUCAAGUAUACCUUGAUGAGGUGGUGAGACUGCAUGGGGUUCCGGUGUCAAUUAUAUCGGAUCGAGACCCUAGGUUCACUUUUCAUUUUUGGAAGAGCUUGCAACAUGCGUUGGGCACACGGCUCGACCUCAGUACAGCGUUUCAUCCUCAGAGUGAUGGGCAAUCAGAGAGGACGAUACAAAUCCUUGAGGAUAUGUUGCGACCGUGUGUACUUGAUUACAGGGGCGGAUCGCACAACUACUUGCCAAUGGCAGAGUUCGCGUAUAAUAACGGUUACCACGAAAGCAUCGCGAUGGCGCCAUUUGAGGCAUUGUAUGGAAAGAGGUGUCGUUCCCCGAUUCACUGGAGCGACGUGGGUGAGAGAGUUGCUCUUGGCCCGGAUGUAGUGCGGGAGGCGGAGGAAAAGGUUCGUCUUGCCCGUCAACGAUUAGCGACGGCGCAAUCAAGGGAGAAAAGUUACGCCGACAAGCGAAGAAAAGACUUAGAAUUCGCGGUUAGAGACUGUGUAUUUGUGAAGGUAUCACCGAUGCGUGGAGUGAGACAUUUUGGGGUCCGCGGGAAAUUGAGUCUCCGAUAUGUCGGACCGUUCGAGGUAUUAGAGCGCAUUGGCGCGGUGGCGUACAGGAUUGCAUUGCCACCGAGACUGGCGGGAGUUCACGACGUAUUUCACGUGUCGAACCUCCGAAAGGAUAUUCGCAACUCGACACAUGUGUUAGAGUAUGAGCUCAUGGAGCUACGCGAAGACAUGUCGUAUGAGGAGUACCCGGUGUGCAUCCUCGGUAGAGAAGAAAGAAAGUUGCAGAGUCGCAAAAUUCCUUAUGUGAAAGUCCAGUGGAGCAAUCAUGGAGUGCGUGAAGCCACUUGGGAGCUUGAGGAGACUAUGCGGAGGAUGCAUCUGCACUUAUUUGAGUCAACGAGUUGAGGUAUGAUUAAUUUCACGGACGAAAUUAUUUUAAGGGAUGGAGAAUGUAAUAUACUGAAACUUCGGUAAAUAAAUAUCGAACUUUAGUCAAAUUGACCAAAGUGUGAGGUUGGUACUCUUCGGAAAGGCCGAAGGCGUCAAAAAGGUAAAAGUGCAUUGUUGGGAGUUUUCGAGAGCUAAAGAAUCAAAAAUCUGCUUAUUGCAUGUAAUGCAUUGAGAAUUUACCUCGAGCUAAUUGUGAUCAAGUGGUCACAAUAAUGCUAAAAUGCAAAUUAAGCAUAUUUAAACUUAAUUAGCAGCUUGUGAUCUCUUGUUGACAUAUUUUGGAAGUGUGGGAAUAUAUAUAAGAAUGGAAUCGAAGUGGCAAAAGAAUUCCAAUUGCUGAAGUUACUUUAAUGCUGAAAUUUUGGGUCAAUUUGGUCAAAAAUGGUCAAAUUGAUGCCAAAUUUGAAAUGAAAUGCUUCCAAAUUAAUUUGGUAGCUUGGGAAGGUCAUUUGGCAUGUUUUAGAAGUGCUCUAGUGAAAUUGGAAUGAUUUAAAUGAGAGGAAAAAGAGAUUAAGUCUUCUGCUGCUGCUGCUGCUGAUGCUGCUGCCCUAUACCGGUACACAUUUUGGUACCGGUACAGCAGUUACGAAUUGGCCUGGACUGCAAUGCAGUUUUAUGGAAUUAAGGGGUUUAUGUGCAAAAUUUCGUCCUUAUCACUUAACCCCAGCUGAGCUGCAUGUGUGUACGUGUCCACAGCCCUUUUUCCAUCACUUCUUACAUCUCUUUCCUUUUCCUUCUCUCUCUAAGCUAAGGAAAAAGAGUUGAAGUUGAGGGAUUUGUGUUGACAGCAGCUUGAAGGCUUGUGUGCUGAGGAGAAGUCUGAUCCAAGCUUUGGAAUUCGGCUAAUUGGAGUUGCUGAACAACCAGAGGAAGGUCUCUAAUUAAGGUAGGUUGACUAAGACUCAAUUUUAAUUGAGUUAAUUGCCUACAAGGUGACCUGAUUCAGGAAUUCUUGCUAUUAGUGCUAGCUAUCCUAGAUUGUAAGCUGAGUGUUGUUAUUGGUGUUGCCGAAGGGUAGAGGUGGAUCAUUUGAAGCUGUGGGCAAGUUAAUUUCGCAGCAAACGGAGGUAAGCUCAUCCCAUAUUGGAUUAUAGUCCAAUUAAUUGCUGUAAAAUGGAUUAAGUUAAGAGUUAUGUUGCUGAAAUUUUAGAGUUAGAGCUGAAAGAGAAUUGAGUUGAGCACACUUGAGGGGAUCUUCGAAUUCAGGUAGAAAUGAAGUCUAAUUCCUGAACAAGAGUGAGUCUAAUUGUGGUAUAAAGAAGUUGAGAAUUACUUUUAUGCUGAAAUGGUAGAGGGUUAAAGGAGGAAGCCAAAGAAUGGCUGCUGCUUGGUAGCUCUGGAACUUCAGCUUGAAGGAAACCAGAUGGACUCUCUUUAGUGUUUUGAAUUGAAGAGGGGCCUAGCAGAGCUUUGAAAUUGGGUAAGAUGGAUUAGUAGUUGAUGGUAAAUUAAGUACUUAUCCUAAAGAAGAGUUGAUGGUGUCCCUGCUACCAGAACUAAACCUUGGAGAAUUGGGGGAGUUGGAAUCCUGCUGAUCCGAAAUGCAUGAAUGGGCCAUUGAUGCAGGGAGCAAGUAAUUCAAUAUCUAAUUAAGGUAAUCUUAUUCUAAUGGUUAAUUAGAAUCAAGUAAAUUGCCUUAGAGAUGACACUCACUUGGACUUUAUGCUGCUGGUAGUAGCAGAUUUGGAAUUGAGGCUUAUUGGAGCUAGCCGAGGGGUGAAACUAGCUAUAGAGGUUGAUAAUUGAGGUAAGCAACUUGCCCCUCAGCUGAGAAUUAAUUACAGCUACCCUGGAAUUAAGUUUAAAGUUUGAUAAUGUAAGGUGUCUAGGAAAUUAAGUGUAAACUAGAGAAGGUAGGUGCUGAAAUUUCAGUCAAUGUAGAAUUUCAGCAUCGAACCCUAUUGAUAAUUGGAGUGGCACUAGCCACUUGAUUAGAGAUUUGAUAAAUCUCAUAUUAGAGCAAAGUUGAAGUUGUUUAACUCUAAUCUUUAAAUGAAAUUGGAGGUAAAUUCACUCUAAUUUCUGUUUAGAAGAGCUGCUAAGAGAACUAAUAAGGACAUGAAGCAAGAUUUCAGCUUAAUGCUGAAAUCAAUGCGGAAUUGACACUUUAUAUAGCAUUGAAAUGCUAACUUGUAAUAUAUGAGAAUAAGGCUCUAGUUUAAUGUCUUCUGAUCCUUUAUAAAUGAGAGUUAAACAUGCUCGAACGUCUAAAUUGACUUUCAAACAGGUCGACGACACGCUAAUUACGGUAAAGACCGUUCUAGUUCUAUUUGCAUUGAGCUGCGAGAGAUAGUCGUCGACGCAUUUCGAGACAUCGAUCUUAGUUGAUUGACACCACUACAGGUGGGUGGUGCUAUCCGAAGUCUUUGAAUCACCUUUUAUGUCUAUGAUAUUUCAUUGAACAUAUUUACUUUGUAGUCAUGCAUUAUAGGGUAGUGGCAUUGUGAAGGUGAUAUUUGAAUAUGUGAAUGCUUAUCAAUAUUGAGAAAAUGUGAACUUAGAAUGUGGACAUAGAACCCUAUGAAUGCAUGGACUAUAACAAUAGUAAAUUUGGUGACAUUCUAACUAGAGAUUUGGUUAGCAUCGAAAAAUGAAAUUGCAACUAGCAUAAAGAGCUAGUUAGAAUUAAAGUGUGACAUUGUCUGUUGUUGAAUCCUCUAAAGGAGGAUCAGAUCAUACUCACAUAGUCUGUUUUGAGCUUGGUGGUGGUCGCUCGACCCAAGCAGUGCACUCCGGAGUGGUCACUUGAUGGGCUAAAGUAUUUGCCCUUGGACUAAAGUAUCUGUCCAGCAGACGGUCCCGUCGGGAGGCAGCUUAGGGCUCGCCAGGGAUUGAGUUGGUGAGUUACAGUUAACCAAAUGGUUAGCUAGAUUGACUGAGUAUUGGUACAUUACAGCAUGCAUGCAUAUUUACAGUUUUCAUAUAUAUCGUUCUUUCAGCUUUGUACAGGCAUUGUAGUAGUUACAUGUUAUAGUUGGUUACUAUCUGUUUACUUCUUUUGUCUACAUAUGCCUGAAUAGACCUAAUUGGUGAGUCGGCGAGGUCGGCGGCCGAACCCACUGGGAACUUUCAGUAGUUCUCAUACCACUAACCAUACAGGUUCCAGUGCAAGCGGUGUGGCCGAGGAUCGUGGCAAGAGCCCCGCAGCUUAGCUAGCUGACACCAGAGUUUUAGUAGUUUACCAUUUUGGGUUUCAUGUUUACAUUUUGAUGUACAGAGACAUGUAAGUGAAUGUAUUAUAAAGCAUGUAAAUAACUAAAUGUUUCAGUUAUACAGUUCAGUUUGAAAGUUUUAAAUUACAGUGAAUUUUCAGUAUAGCUAGCUUACUAUCACUUGUGCUUGUUGCUUGCCCUCGUGCAAGCCAUGUAUAUUGAAAUGUUAUCCUGAAAAUUGUUUAUUUCUUUAUACAUGUACCUGUUGUUGUUGAGCCUUGGGCGGACAGAGGAGGUUCUGUCCGUUCGGCGUCUGUGUACGGGCCCGGAUCGACCAAAUUGGCGAUAGCGAGACGUGACAGAUAAGGUGGUAUCAGAGCAAGUGAUAAGUGAAGUCUAAGAUGACCUAGGGGACUCAGGAUUGGAAACCUAGGAAACAGGAACGUGAGUGGCGUGAAUCAAAUGAUAGCGAAAGCUAAACAAAUUGGGUUAGUUGUUAGUAAGUCUCUAAUGUUAAUUAGGGGCUAAUCCAAGUGUUAUUUAUAUGCAACUAAAAAGAGUUAUGUUGGUGGCCAACAACAUAAAGCUAAGGGUUGAGUAUAAAUAUGCUUGAUUGCUUUCGCCUUAUUGGUUUUGCUUUACUAAUGUGAAUGGUUCAUUUCAGGAGAAAUGCCACCGCGACGUGCGACGAGAUCCACUCCGGCAUCACCUUCUGAGGUGCCAGAGCAGUCUGGGUCUAAUGAUGUUCAGGAGUUGCGUGCUCAGGUGAGCGCGUUAGUCGGGGCUAUGCAGAGACAGGAGGAGCAUAUAAAGAGUCUACAGGAUCUAAUGUCGCGACAUGCGACGACAGCAGCACCUGGGAGUCAGGAUGUACCUAUAUCUGAGGCGCCGACGAUCGUGCCUCCUGUUCCGCUGACUGUUCCUCCAGUGAUUUUUGGGCCCUCUGAUUCUGAUGUGACCGCGUUAGAGGCUGAGCGCGCACGAUUUGUAAAGGUGUUAGAGGCAUUUUUGCGGUUUAAUCCGUCUAUGUUUGAUGGAAAAGAAGCCAAUCCGUGGGUAGUAGAGACAUGGCUUACAGCGAUGGAGGUAUUAUUCGAGGACAUUUACACUUUGGAAAGGGAUAAAGUUCCUUUGGCGGCACACUGCUUUGAGAAAGAUGCUCAGAUCUGGUGGCAAAAGGCCAAGAAGAAGCGGGCAUCAAACCUACCACCGCUCACUUGGGAGGAGUUUCGCGAGAUGUUAUUUAUGGAGUACUUUCUCGACAGCGAUAAAAGGAAAAUGAAGGAAGACUUCCGCAAGUUGAGACAGGGAAACCGUUCGGUACGGGAGUACAAACGGGAAUUUACUCAUUUGGUGAACUCUGUGCCUGGUAUGGUUCAUACGGAUUGAGAUCGAGCGGAGUACUUUGAGCGGGGGUUGCGACCUGAUAUAUUCAGGACAGUCAAUGCUCUGAAGUUAAAGACAUUUGAGGAGGUCCUGGAUCGAGCUCUUUGGGUUGAGCGCGGGAAUGCGAUUGCGCGUGAUGAACGCGAAUCGUUUGAAAGAGAACGAGAAAGAGAAAAAGGAAAAAAAAGGACUACUAGUGGUGCCGGGGGACAAUCGAGCUCUAAACGGCCCCCUCGGUAUCCACGUUCUCAGUCGAGGUAUCAGGGACCCCCGAGGUGUGUGAUUUGUGGCGGGAAUCACCGACCGUCGGUUUGUUCACAGCGUGAGGGCAAGUGUUACAAGUGUGGGCAGCCGGGACAUAUGAUUCGUGAUUGCCUGAGGGGAGCAUCACCUGCACAGUCCACAGCUUCAGUCCAGUCACCCUCCAGACAGCGUUCUGGUCUACCACCUGUUAUGUCAGCUGGACGUACUUUUGUGCCGCGUCAGUACGAGCCAUCUCGAUCUGCAUCGAGUACCCGUAUGGACGCACCUCGAUCUGCACCGAGUGGUCGUGUAUUUGCAGCCCAGGCAGAGGAGCCGGCCGUAGUUGAUGACGUCGUGGCAGGUAUUGUUUUACUUUAUGGCACUAGAUCUCGUGCAUUAUUUGACACAGGUGCAUCGCAUUCAUUCAUCAGUAGUUCAUUUGCUAAGACGCAUGACAUUGAGAUUUCGGAUAGUGCUGAUGCCUGGUGGGUAUAUGCCCCUGAGCACACAUUUAGUGUCCAUGAAGUGUGUGUGGCAUGUCCAGUACAGGUUAGUGAUUGGAUUAUGCCAGCAGACUUGCUAGUGCUAAGCCGCAUGAAAGGCUUUAAUGUGAUCGUUGGAAUGGAUUGGCUUGUAAAGUACUAUGCCACGAUUGAUUGUGAAAGUAAAGUAAUUACUUUUCGUGAACCUGGGCAAAAAGAAGUUGUAUAUCGGGCGUGCAAGAGUUCGCUCUUUGCAUUGAUCGUAUCGUCGACGAGGGCGAGAAAGUUGAUUAGUAGUGGAUGUGCGGCCUAUUUGGCGACUGUAGUGGAGACUCAAAAGGAACUUCCAGCACUGAGUGAUAUUACAGUGGUUCGAGAGUUUCCUGAUGUAUUUCCUGCGGAGUUACCGGGAUUGCCGCCGGAUCGGGAAAUUGAGUUCGUUAUUGACUUGGUUCCCGGGACGGCGCCAAUUUCGAAGGCUCCGUACAGAAUGGCACCUGCUGAGUUGAGAGAGCUGAAAGCUCAGUUGCAGGAUUUGAUGGAUAAAGGCUUUGUGAAGCUUAGUGUAUCACCGUGGGGAGCCCCAGUACUGUUUGUAAAGAAAAAAGACGGAACGCUUCGGCUUUGCGUUGAUUAUCGCGAGCUGAACAAGGUCACAAUUAAGAAUAAAUACCCGUUGCCACGGAUUGAUGACUUAUUUGAUCAGUUACAGGGAUCAAGGGUGUAUUCAAAGAUUGAUCUCCAAUCAGGUUAUCACCAAUUGAAGAUCAAACCAGAGGAUGUGCACAAGACAGUGUUUCGCACUCGUUAUGGUCAUUAUGAAUUUACAGUGAUGCCGUUUGGACUGACCAAUGCCCCUGCAGCGUUCAUGGAUCUGAUGAACAGGAUCUUUAAGCCGCUGUUGGAUCAGUGUGUGGUGGUAUUUAUAGAUGAUAUCCUGAUCUUUUCUCGAAGUAAUGAGGAGCACGAAGAACACUUGAGAACAGUGAUGCAAAUUCUUCGGGAGAAACAGUUAUAUGCCAAAUUGAAGAAAUGUGAAUUUUGGCUGCGAGAGGUCGCAUUUUUGGGGCAUGUGAUUUCUGAGGGUGGUGUAGCUGUUGACCCAAAGAAAGUAGAGGCAAUUAAGGAUUGGCCUCGCCCGACGACUGUUCCAGAGAUCUGCAGUUUUCUUGGACUUGCGGGGUAUUAUAGAUGGUUCAUGGAGGGAUUCGCGAAGAUUACUACUCAACUAACGCGUCUUACACAUAAAGGAACCAAAUAUGUGUGGAGCGAAGAAUGUGAUCGAAGCUUUUGGGAGUUGAAAGAAAGAUUGACUUUGACUCCUAUUCUGGCCUUGCCGAUUUCGGGGGAGAGUUUUGUGAUCUACAGUGAUGCUUCCUACAGUGGACUUGGGUGUGUACUUAUGCAGGGUGGUCGAGUGAUUGCUUAUGCGUCUCGCCAGUUGAAGAACUAUGAAAAGAAUUAUCCUAUUCAUGACUUGGAAUUAGCGGCGGUGAUCUUUGCACUGAAGUUGUGGAGACAUUACCUUUAUGGCGAGCAUUGUGAAAUUUAUACUGAUCACAAGAGCCUGAAGUAUUUAUUCACCCAGAAAGAGCUGAAUAUGCGACAACGCCGGUGGUUAGAAUUGUUGAAAGAUUAUGAUGUUAAUAUUCUAUACCACCCAGGAAAGACCAAUGUGGUUGCGGAUGCACUGAGUAGGAAGUCUGUGGAGAACUUGGCUAUGGCGAUCACGCAUCAACCAUCGUUGCAGAAUGAAAUGCGACGGUUUGAUCUUGAGGUAGUAGCUCCAGAUGUACCAGCUAUUCUUGCCGCUCUAGUUGUUCAACCGACCUUGUUGGAACGGAUUAAAAAUCGGCAAUCUUUAGAUCCGUAUCUCCAAAAGGUGCGGUGUGAAGUUGAGAGCGAGCGUAGUGGUGAUUUCACAGCUGGAUCUGAUGGAGCACUUCGGUUUCGCAACCGGUUGUGCGUGCCUAAAGACGAGGAAGUUCACAGGACUAUACUACAGGAAGCUCAUCAUUCACCCUAUAGUGUGCAUCCAGGUGGCACUAAAAUGUACGAGGAUCUUAAAGUGCAUUAUUGGUGGCCUGGAAUGAAGAAGGAUGUUGGACAGUUUGUGGCGCAGUGUUUGACUUGUCAGCAAGUUAAAGCGGAGCGCAGGUUUCCCGCGGGAAAGUUACAGAGCUUGCCUAUUCCGGUCUGGAAGUGGGAGAACAUUGCGAUGGACUUCAUUAUUGGAUUACCUCGAUCACAGGCUGGUCAUGAUACCAUUUGGGUGAUUGUUGAUCGAUUGACGAAAUCGGCGCAUUUCUUGCCGAUUCAUGUUACUUGGUCAGGGGACAAGUUAGCACUGGUGUACCUCGACGAGAUUGUGAGAUUACACGGAGUCCCGACGUCGAUUGUAUCUGAUCGAGACCCGCGGUUUACAUCUCACUUCUGGAGGAGUUUACAAGAUGCUCUUGGCACACGUCUUGAUUUUAGUACAGCUUUUCAUCCUCAGACCGAUGGACAGUCGGAGAGGACGAUUCAGAUAUUGGAGGACAUGCUACGGGCGUGUGUACUCGACUUCAGAGGGAGUUGGCAUGAUUCCUUAGCGAUGGCUGAGUUUGCAUAUAAUAAUAGUUAUCAGGAAAGCAUUGUAAUGGCACCGUUUGAAGCCCUCUACGGGAGAAAGUGUCGAUCCCCUAUCCAUUGGAGUGAGGUAGGAGAAAGAAUGGCUCUUGGUACGGAUGUACUCCACGAGGCGGAGGAAAAGGUACGCCUAGUCCGUCAGAGGUUGUUAACGGCCCAGUCACGUCAACAAAGUUAUGCCAAUAAAUGUUGAAAGAAUUUGGAGUUUGCGGUUGGCGAUCGGGUAUUGUUGAAAGUGUCGCCAAUGCGCGGGAUAAAGAGAUUUGGAGUUCGAGGAAAGCUUAGUCCUCGAUACAUUGGACCUUACGAAAUCCUAGAGCGAGUUGGAGCAGUAGCCUUUCGUUUGGCUCUACAGCCAAAAUUUGAAGGAAUUCACAAUGUGUUUCAUGUUUCGAAUCUCCGAAAAUAUGUGCAUCAUUCAGGGCAUAUUCUAGAGUUUGAACCAGUGGAUUUACAGGAGAAUAUGACAUAUGAAGAGUACCCAAUAUGCGUCUUGGAUCGCGAGGUAAAAGAGUUGCGAAAUCGCACCAUCCCCUACGUGAAAGUACAAUGGAGCAAUCACUCCGGACGAGAGGCUACUUGGGAGUUGGAAGAAGCUAUGCGUGAAUCCUAUCCUCACCUAUUCAACCAGGAGAAUUGAGGUAUGAAUUUAAGUUUCGAGGACGAAACUAUUUAAGGAGGGGAGAUUGUAAUGCAUUGAGAAUUUACCUCGAGCUAAUUAUGAUCAAGUGGUCACAAUAAUGCUAAAAUGCAAAUUAAGCAUAUUUAAACUUAAUUAGCAGCUUGUGAUCUCUUGUUGACAUAUUUUGGAAGUGUGGGAAUAUAUAUAAGAAUGGAAUUGAAGUGGCAAAAGAAUUCCAAUUGCUGAAGUUACUUUAAUGCUGAAAUUUUGGGUCAAUUUGGUCAAAAAUGGUCAAAUUGAUGCCAAAUUUGAAAUGAAAUGCUUCCAAAUUAAUUUGGUAGCUUGGGAAGGUCAUUUGGCAUGUUUUAGAAGUGCUCUAGUGAAAUUGGAAUGAUUUAAAUGAGAGAAAAAAGAGAUUAAGUCAUCUGCUGCUGCUGCUGCUGAUGCUGCUGCCCUGUACCGGUACACAUUCUGGUACCGGUACAGCAGUUACGAAUUGGCCUGGACUGCAAUGCAGUUUUAUGGAAUUAAGGGGUUAUGUGCAAAAUUCCGUCCUUAUCACUUAACCCUAGCUGAGCUGCAUGUGUGUACGUGUCCACAGCCCUUUUUCCAUCACUUCUUACAUCUCUUUCAUUCUCCUUCUCUCUCUAAGCUAAGGAAAAAGAGUUGAAGUUGAGGGAUUUGUGUUGACAGCAGCUUGAAGGCUUGUGUGCUGAGGAGAAGUCUGAUCCAAGCUUUGGAAUUCGGCUAAUUGGAGUUGCUGAACAACUAGAGGAAGGUCUCUAAUUAAGGUAGGUUGACUAAGACUCAAUUUUAAUUGAGUUAAUUGCCUACAAGGUGACCUGAUUCAGGAAUUCUUGCUAUUAGUGCUAGCUAUCCUGGAUUGUAAGCUGAGUGUUGCUAUUGGUGUUGCCGAAGGGUAGAGGUGGAUCAUUUGAAGCUGUGGGCAAGUUAAUUUCGCAGCAAACGGAGGUAAGCACAUCCCAUAUUGGAUUAUAGUCCAAUUAAUUGCUGUAAAAUGGAUUAAUAGACAGUGGUGCAUAUGGACCACCGUCCGCUUCAGUACCUCCAAACGCAAUCAAAAUUGCAACAGGCGCGUCACAUGAAAUGGAUGACGUACUUGCAGCAGUUCAAUCUGGUGAUCAAGUACAAAAAAGGCGCUCACAACAAACUGGCUGAUAUGCUAUCACAACCACCAGUGGCAGCACUUUGCUUGUCGACAUUCAUGCAAGUUCAGCUAGAUUUUCAUAACUAUGCAAGCUUAUUUGCAGAAGACUCAGAUUUUCAACGAGCACUGGCUGACAUCGAAGCAAGACGACCUACUGAGUUUGUCUUGCAAGGCGGUCUACUGUACAAAGGUGCACUGCUAUGUGUCCUAAAGAUGACAAUCGAGUACAAUGGAUUCGAGAAGUCCAUACCUCGAAGGUGGCGGGUCACUUCGGGGUGAACAAAACAUUGCAGAAUCUCCAGCGCUAUGUCUAUUGGCCUCACAUGCAAAACGAUGUGGCGCGAUUUGUGAAGGGAUGCGUCCUAUGCUGUACAUCCAAGCCCGCAAAUCGAAAGGUGGGCCUCUAUGCCCCUUUUCCGGUGCCGACUCGUCCUUGGGAAAGUAUCUCCAUGGACUUCUUAGGAGGCCUCCCGAGGACCCGACGAGGACACGACUACCUUUAUGUGGUGAUCGAUCGAUUCUCCAAGAUGAUAGUACUUGUGCCAUGUAAGAAGGCAAUCACCGGCGAAGAAACUACGCGGCUAUUCUUCUAACACGUUUGGACACAUUUUGGACUACCAACUUCGAUUGUGUCUGACCGUGAUAGCUGUUUUAUAAGCAACUUUUGGCGGUCUUUGUGGUCCAUGAUGGACACAAAGCUACAACGGAGCACGGCUUUCCAUCCUUAAAUCGAUGGUCAAACAGAAGUGGUCAACCGGACAAUUGUACAUCUACUGUGAGGAUAUAAUGCUCGACAUCCCAAGACUUGGGACGAGAGCCUUCCAUACUUGCAGUUCGCGUUCAAUCGAGCUAUACACAGUUCCACUGGCAAGACUCCUUUUGAGGUGUGCUUGGGUUAUUUACCACCAAGCCCAUUUGAUUUGGCAUUCACAGUCGAGCAACCGCAAACCACCAAGGAAAAAAAUAAAAUGGCAAAGGCACAACGCUUCUUGGAGAGCAUUCAGAAAGUGCAUAGCGAGGUGGAGCGACAAUUACAAAAAUCUCAGCAGGAAUAUAAAGAACGACAUGAUCGACAUUGAGUGAAAGGCGACUUCCGAGAGGGUGAUCUCGUCUGGCUCCAUCUCAACAAAGAGUGCUUGAAAGGCGAGGGUAAGAAACUUAAACCCAUUCGUUAUGAACCUUUCAAGAUCCUAAGCAGAAUUGGCGAGAAUGCUUAUAAAUUGGAGUUGCCCGCAUACAUGAGGAUGUAUUCGAUCGUCAAUAUCAAAACCUAAAGUCCUUCAGGCAUCAAUGCUGGAUGAUAAGCCCGGAGAAGUACUGCCAUCCGUGGAAGAUCUCGUGGUAGAACGCGAAAAGCGGCUAACUGAGGAUACUAUCCUAGAACGCAAGGUCACGACGACAAACAAAGGUGAACGUGAAUCCUUCCGUGUUGGACAGAAAGGUCAAAAGCCAAGUGCCGCUAAGUGGUUCACAAGGGACACUGAAAAACUCAGUUUCCUCACUUGUAGUUCUAGAUCUAGCAGGUGCUGGUUCCUCUCAAAAUUGGGGAGCCAUGAUCUGGGACGAUCAAACCAUUCGCAUAAGUCUCAAUCGUUGCGGAUAAGGCAGAGGUCGUUCCAACUAAUUCGGUUAGGAUAAGACGGAAAUGGUUACAACUAAUUCUGUUAAGAUAUGGAUCGAGAGGAUUCCAACUAAUUCGGUUAAGAUAUGAAUCGAACUAAUUCGGUUAAGAUAUGAAUCGAGACGGUUCCAACUAAGCCAUUCCAACUAAUUCGGUUAAGAUAUGAAUCGAGACGGUUCCAACUAAUUCGGUUAGGAUAAGAUCGAGGUGGUUUCAAUUACUUCGGUUAGAACAAGAAUAAGUUGUUAUUUUGUUCUUAUCUUCUUGUAAGACGGAAGGCUAUAAAUAGGAGCCCUACUUGCUCUUGUAAAUCAUUCCAGUUUUAGAGAGAAUUAAUAUACAGACUCUUCCGCAUACAAAUAUUGUGUUCUUUUUUUUUCUUUCUUUUAAAUAUGGUUUCAAAUAUCCAUCGGGGAGACGUUGCGACAUAGCUUCCUCCUCCGACGGAUCACAUGGCCUCUUCUUUCUUCUUCUUUGCCUAUGAAGAGUUGGUGUAUGUGCGCAAACGAUAUAAUGGCAAUUAUUUUUGUCAGUUUGAUCAACGACCGUCCUCGUGAUAGGCUCGACCUGAUCAAACCCUGCAUUGAAUCGUUACUACAUCGUGCAUGCAUGUUCACUAAGCUUCCCGAACAUCGCUUCCGCUAUCAUGACUAUGAAAACUCAACAUGUGCGCAAUCCUUAUGUCGGUGGGAGAUUGAGCAGCCAUCUUCGCCAUAGGCUCGACACAAUCACACCCAAUAUUGGAUUUACGCUCUCGCCAUACCCAUGUUCAUGUCUACUAUAUCGAGUGGCCGUCUUCGUGAUAGGCUCGACACGUCAAAUCCUUACAAAAAUAAAUAACUUAAAAUAAUAAAAUAAUAAGAUAAUAAAAUAAAUAUUUAAACCGGGUCGCCAUCCUCGUGAUGAUUCAGGUUCCGUUCGUUAAACCGGAUCGCUGUCCUCAUGAUAGGCUUGACCAGGUCGCCGUCCUCGUGAUAGGCUAGAUCCCAGUUCGGUUCGUUAAAUCGGGCUGCCGUCUUCGUUAUAGACUUGACCCGGGUUCAUUUCGUUAAACCGGGUCGCCGUCCUUGUGAUAGACUAGACUUGGGUUCGUUUAACUAAACCGCGUCGCCGUCCUCGUGAUAGGCAUGACCUAGAUUUAUUUCAUUAGAUCAGGUUACCGUCCUCAUGAUAGGCUAGAUCCGGGUUCAUUUUAUUUAACCGGAUCGUCGUCCUUGUGAUAGGCUUGAUUUGGGUUCAAUUCAUUAAACCAAAUUACCGUCCUAGUGAUAGGCUUGAUUUGGGUGUGAUAGGCUUGAUUUGGGUUCGGUUUAUUAAACCGGAUCGCCGUCUUCACAAUAGGCUUGAUCUAGUUCGGUUAAACCAAAUUGACUACAUAAAUGCUUGAUUUGAACCAAGCGUAAUAUAAGCAUGAGUUCAAUUUUAACUUAAUAAAAAAAUAGGGAGAAAUAAAUAACCAGAACAGAGUCUAAGCCAAACCGGUUUGGAUACAAACUCAAAUUGAACCAAACCCAAGUCAAUGACGGAUCACGCCGAUAAUGGAUCAAAAAUAAAUUAAGCCAAAGUUGGUGAACCAAAUCUAAAAUGGUGAACAAAACCCCUAACGGUGAACUAAGCCCAGUUGUAAACCAUAUACAAGACAUUAAACGGAACUCACAACAGUGAACUGAAACCGAGAUGGUGCACCAAAGGUCAAAUCCAAGGUGGUGAAUCAAAACCAUUACGCCAAACCAAAUAAAUCGAAUCUAAGACAGUGAACAAAACAUAUGGUGGUAAACCAAACCGAAUCAAAUCACAAACCGAUUCUACUUAGACAAACUAAAAAGGAUUCAACUUGAAAAGAAUCAUGAGUCCAAGGCGAGUGGCUUUUUUGCCUUCCCACGAGCUUCUGUUUGGAAAAGAAUUUUGAUGAUGCUUUCUCGCAUGCAGCUUUCACAAAGCAAUCAGUCAUGUACACUUAGUGGCAAACCAUCAAUCAUAUCCUUCUUAUAUACGAACUCUAAUUCGUCAAAAGUCAAAUGCCCAAACCUUUCGUGCCAUAACCAAUUUUCAUCAAUAGAUUUUGAAAAUCAAUAUGCAUAGGACAAAUCUUAUUCUUUACCAUGGAAACUUCAGCACGUAAUUUCGCUUUCUUGUCAACUUUAUGAAUAAGACAUUUAGAAUUUUCAAACACUAAAAAAUAUCCAAAAGUAAGAAAUUGGCCAAAACUAAAUAAAUUUGCAUCUGAUCCGGGAACAUAAAUAACGUAUGAUAUUUUAGUAAUUUCGAAAAUGUAACGACUCGACCUACUAGCAAUAAUAACUCGUUGGGCCAAAACCACUGGCCCAAAAUGCUUAAGCCCAGUUAUCAUUACUAGGAUGGAGUCCUCUUAUAUGCCCAAUAACAAUUUUAUUCCCAUCCGGUGUGGGAAUAUUGGGUGUCACAGACUCCCCCCAUUUAGGCCCUGACCUCCUUAUCAACCCUAAAUACACAUAGCCCAAGAUCACCACGCGAUGUGAGACUUGUCUCGCUAGCCUUUGUCAUUUCAACCCUGACUUAUCCUGUCAUUCAUCGAUCCUGUCUUAAUCUGUCAUUCCGACUCUAGAUAAGCCAAGAUUCAUCUCACACUUCUGGCUAGUGAACCGGCUCUGAUACCAAAUGUAAUAAUCCGACCCACUAACAAUAAUAACUUAUUGGGUCAAAACCACCGACCCAAAUUGCUUAAGCCUAGUUAUCAUUACUAGGGUAGAGUCCUCUUAUAUAUUCAAUGACAAUUCCAUUCGCAUCCGAUGUGGGACUAUUGGGGUGUCACAUAAAAACACUUUUUUUGCUUGUGCUUCACAAACUCGGCUAUCUCCCAUUUUGACUAGCUUCUGUAUCUAUUUACUAUUCAUUUUAAUAAAUAAAUUUUCUCUUCCUGUCAUGUGAGCACUGCAACUACUAUUCAAAUACUAGAUAUUUUCUGAAUAAUUGUUUAUGGUUUAACAACCAAAAAGAAUGUCAGAUUCUACAUACUUAGCAUCAACCGAUGCAUUAUUGCUGAAAAUUUUCAGUGAGGCCAUAUUUCUUAUAAUAAUAAUAUUGGAUAUUCUUAUAGGUGCUAGCUUUUGGUCCGAUCUAUAUGAUCUACUGCCACUUCAUUGACUUGUCAUCCCACAUUUAUCUCCACGUAUUUCUACGCCCCACGACCAUGAUCACGUCCUCUACCACAGCCUCGGUAUGAUGAUACUUGUCAGCUACAAUCUAUCUGUGAAAUAUUUAACUAAGUCAUAAAAGCAUUCUCAAUAAAAUUUUCAUGAGGCCUAUCUAUUCGUUUUUCAUGUAAUAAAGGAAAUCCAAGUAAUUCACUACAUGAUUAUUUAGAAAAAUCUUUUGACUCUUUUAUUAUUGAAACAAUAUGUUCAUACUUGCAUGUUAAGCUUCAUAAAAUUUUUUUUACAACUAUUUUGUCAACGAUAGCAUAACCAUAAGUACUCAUCUGUGUAAUUACCAUCAUUCUUGAAAAGAAAGAAUAGUUAUUUUCGCCUUGCAUAAAAAAAGUUUCAAAUUUUCUUUUAAUGUUCAAACUCUUAAUACCUUGUGGUUCCUUGAUAUUCGAUUUGUAAUGUGUCCCCAUGUCUCAUUUGCUUUCUUUGCCGCAAUAAUAUGAGAAAAAUUUUCUCAUCAAUAGCUUGCUGAAUGACGAACAAUGCCUUCGCAUCUUAAUUUCCUCAUGGUAUUUGGGCUUGCAUCUGUGGAUCCUUUCUCUAAAAGAUCCCACAAAUCUUCUGACCACAGGAGCGUCACACCUUGACGUAGAGAAAUAAAAAAUCCCGGCGGUAUGUGUUGUUUAUUACUUUCAAUCUAUAUUUAUUGGAGAUCUAGAUGCUUAGAGAUAUGCUGAUUUUGUAUCUUGCAACUGCAAGCUGAAGUGUAGAACUUAAUUAGAGCAAUUUAAAUUCAUAAACUUUAGCAUUAAUUAGUGUAAUUUGCUUUUAUGUCAACUGAAAGUGCACAUAUUGAAAGUGUGUGCCAUGAAGUUUAUUUUUGUUUUGGCAUUUUGUAUUAUUUUAUAUAUUAUAACAAAUUUGAUAAAAAAUUGAUGUUUUACUUUAUUUCUUUUGUAGAGUUAGCAAAUGAAAGGCAUAAGAUUGUUUCGCACGGCAUAUUUUGGAGACUUCUACAAGGUGUGUGGAGUACUGAUUCCUUAUUUUGCCACGAUCAUUUAUGUAAUUAUAGGGAGAGCUGAUAACUUUGAUAUUCAAAAAAAUUAGUUGAUAUUCUAAUGGAUAAAACAAUUUCGAUUUUCUUUUUUGGACUUUGUUUUGCUAUUUGUGAAACUUAUUGUGAGAUUCCCAAAUAAUCAUAUAUAUAAGAUAUAAUAAGACUAAAACUCUUAAUCCGGUUAUAGCAUUUUGGGCGGUAGUUAGGUCCAAAAGGUUAAGAAAGUUAAGCGUGCUAGGACUAGAUUAGCCCUAGGAUAAGUGACCCCCUAAAAAGUGGGGCGUCACAGUUGGUAUCAGAGCUAACUACCAAUCGUAAGUAUGAGAUAAGUCUCAAUUGAGCCAGCUUAUAUAGCGGGGAGAGCGAGGCUUUUAUGCUUGAUGACUGUUGUGGAUAGAUCGCACUCCCCCACAAAGUCGGUUGUGGCUAACUAACGAGGACGUUAGGGCUUAAAGGAGGGGAGAACGUGAGACCCCUAAAUAGUCCUAUAUAUAAGAUAUAAUAGAACUAAAACUCUCAACCUGGCUAUAGUAUUUUGGGCAGUAGUUAGGUCUAAGAAGUUAAGAGAAUUAAGCGUGCUAGGGUUUGAGUAGUUCUAGGAUAGGUAAUCUCCUGAGAAGUGGGGCGUCAUUAUAAUUGAUAAUUAUUUUUAAUAUAAAUAUACUUCAUUAUUAACUAGCCAACCACAAAUUUCUAUAUAAACUAAUUAAUUAAUAUUAGCUCAAUGACCACCUUCAUU
rnacentral:lncRNA from 1 species